rnacentral:lncRNA from 1 species
AUCAAGCUCAAGGUAAUAGUUCGCCUUAAGCUUAUUCGGUUUCAUAUUCAUGAUUCCCAAUAUAAACGUUGUAUCUACUACUAUUUCAUACUCUGUCAUGCAUUCAUGUAUCAGUUCAGUUAUAAAAAUCAUACAUCAGUUAUGCAUUCUCGUCUUGAGAAACUUAGUUUAUCAGAACACUCAGUUAGCCAUGCAUCAGAUGUGCAUAAGCUCAGUAUAUUUAGCAUGUCAGUCAUGAAGUCAUGUCUCAGUCACUCAUGUUCAGUUCAUGUUCAUUUAUUAUUUUCCCUCUUAGUCAGUCUCAUUCGAGGCCGAAUGUUCUCAAGGGGGAGAUAUUGUAAUACCCAUGCUUAUUCCUAGCUAGAAAUCCUCUCAAGAAUGCUAGUACUUACUUUGAAAUACAAAUCUAUUUUUGUACCCAUGGUAUUUUUUAGAUUUCUACUUUCUAUCACGUGGAAAAUUGAGUUAGCUUUCUAAUGAUACUAAUUUUAUCCAAAUUCGACACUAGACGAGGAAGUUAUGGAUGUUUUACUCAGAACUAACCAAAACGCCCAGGUGCGACGUCUAAGUUGACGGACCGCCAAACAAGUGACGGAUCACCACUUUGACCAUCACAGCUAAGGCAGUAGGGCCACGUUCUGGAUAAGGAUUGACGGACGAGUUGACGGACCGUCAGAUUUUUGACGGAUCGUCAUCCAGGCCAUUAACUCUUAUCUAGUGAACCCCAUUUCUGGUCCACGUAUAAAGGUCAAAAUAACGGACCAUCAAGUUCCUGACGGACCGUCAGUCGGGUCGUCACACGCCAUGUUCAGUUUACUUCCAGGCCAUUUUAACAGAGGUAUUUUAGUCACUUACCACUCGCCUAUAUAUACCCAGAUUAGUCCGAAUUCAGCCAUUUUGAUCAUUAUUAUUUCACAAAUAAAAACUAGCGUUUCUCUCUAAUUUAAUCUCCAAGAACAAGACCCAAUCUUCUUCAAAAAAAUCAAAGGAUUUCAAAUCCUUCAAGUUCAAAAACAUCAAGAACUUUGAGUCAGGUAUGCGUAGUGUUCAUCUAUGGAUCCAUUUCAUUCAUAGAGCUCAAGAACUAUGUUUUAAAUAUUAUUUUUUGAUUGUAUUGUUGUGAUAUGAGCAUGUACAUGUUGAUGAUUGUUGUUUAAGUUUUCAGAUGAUAUCUAAAGGUGUUUUCAUGAAAUAUAUGUGUUUGUUAGUUGAAACCCAUGUUCCUUAUGUGGUUUAAUAUGGUGAAAUUCAUGAACACACUUAAGCUAAGAGAAUGCAUGCAAAGUGUAUGGUAAUAUGCCUAGAUGAUAGAAUUCAUGUCCCACGAUUUAAUAGUGCUUAAAUGACAAGUCCAUGCUCUAUACUUUAUGAUUUCCCAUGAAUUCCAUGUGAGUGAUAUGCGUUGUUGUUGUGAUAUGGAUUGACCAUGAUAUCGAAGCUAUGCAAGUUUAUACAUGUUAUAUGAAUUUUUCUUCCAUGUAUAAGAUGUUGAGAACUAUGCUUAGUGUGAAAUCCCCUACUCAUGAUAUGGUAAAUUGUGGACUCUACUCUUACGGUCAAGUCAAUCAUGUGUGUCAGUUUCCUUCCAUUGAGUCCUGGGGGUAUUUGUACCCGAAACAUAUAGUUGUGUACCUAGAUCCAUGUCAUGUUAUCACGAUAAUCUCAGUCAAGCCAUGAUCUAUAGAACUUAGUAGGGCAUGUGACUCAGGAAACCUCAAAAAUCUCAUGAUCUCAGUUAAUUCUCAGAUAGUAGCACUAUUCCGUCAGUCAACAGAAAUCAGUUACUCAGUUCAUGUACUGUCAGUUAAAUCAUGUUCAGUCUUUUCAGAUGGGAGUGGAAGUUAGCACCGAGUGAACCCAAGGAUGGGAACUCACUUGUCAGUUUAGGGUGUGAUUCUCAGUAAUCAUCCUUGUGUUACAGAACUACGUAACCAGUGUAGGUUGAGCUAUCUUAACCUGUUAGAUUAGAGUGGAUGAGGUGGCUUAAUCCAUCAGUUUAGGAUUUCCACCGUUCUCAUUUUGAGUACCUACCAGCUAAGUAUCACUCACAGCUGUCCUUACCAGUAGGGUGGUAUUGACACCCUUCCAGUCGGGGCAGAGAUUGGACCCUAACUUAACUAUAUGCGUUAUUGGGGCAUGUCGGUCAAACAACUACCUUCCACAGUUUUAGUCCCAGUCUCAGUAAAAGAACUCAGAUAGUUCUUCAGAUUUCAGUAUAUAAGGACUGUCAGAUACAGUCAAUUCAGUUACAGAACAGAACACAGAUAGUUCCAUUAGAUUCAGGACUGUCAGCCACAGCUAUAUAGUUCCAUUAGGUUCAGGACUGUCAGACAAAGUCAUCUAUGUUAUCAGAAUUUUAGUAUUGGUCAUGCUAGAUAUCAGUAGAUCAUGUAUUAGUGUCCAGAUCUAGAUAUCACAAAAUCACGAUCUCAGUUACUACGUAUGAUGUUUGCAUUCUUACGUUCAUAUCAGUUAGUCAGUUAGCAUCGUUCAUGCAUGUAAACCCUUUUUGCAUUUAGCCUACCUCACCCGUAUACUCAGUACUCCCAGUUGUACUGACGCAUUUGCGCUAUGGUACUUUCUUUUACGUUACACCAUAGUUCACAUAUACGAGCUCCAGAUCAGCAGUCGCAGUAGCAUUCCAAUCGCAGAGUUGCAGUGAGUCCUCAUCCAUUCGAGGAUGGUAUUAUUUAUUUCAUUUAUUAUUUCAGUUCAGUUUUCCUAGACGGAGUUAGUUAGAGACAUGUUCCUUCAACUUCUUAUUCAGACAGUAUUUAGAGGGUUUCAGAUUUAGCUCAGAUUUGAUUUAGAUUUCAGUUGUUUUGGGUAUUUGUUACCCCAUAUGGAUGUUAUGAUUUGUCAGAUAUUCUAUGCAGUUGAACCUUAUGGCCUAUUGUCCAUGUUUUCCGUAUUAUUACAUCAUAUAUUGCAGUACAUAAGUAUAAAUAUCAGUCAUGAGUUGGCUUAUGGUCCUUCAGGGUCGUAAGCACCGUGUAACACUCUGAUUCAGAAAAAUUAGGGCAUUACAAUUUACCAAUGAGAUGUCCUGAUUUCUUGCAAUAUGUGCAGAAUAAACUAGAAACAGUACUGGUGUAGGAAGACCUUUUUAGGUCAGAUUGAGAAGUGUUAUGAGAAGGAGAAUAACUUUUGUUUGGAGCAUGUGCGGGAUAUGUAGGGAAAUUUCUUUUGGGGUCAAAGUAGAUUUUCUGAGUAAACCCUCUCCCAUAAGAUGUAUUAUGAGUGUAAGCAUUAAAAGAAGCUAAAUAAUUUGAGAAACUAGGAAUAGGGGCACACGUUUUUUUUUCGACAUGUUAAAUCAUAGAAUAAGAACUACUGAGGGAGGGCAAGGUAGGAAGCAUCAGUAUAUUGCUUUUGCGCGCAGAAUAAUCAUCAUUAAGUCCACCAAGAAAUUAGAGAAACUUUUGUUAUUCUAAAAAUUUCCCUAAUGCUCUACAAGUACACACCGGACCCACAUAGGAGGUGUGGAGUUCAUCCCAGAGACUAUGCAUGUGAGUGAAAUAAGUAGCUAUGCUAGAAGACCUCUGAGUGGUAGAAUUGAUUUCUUUUUGAAUUUGAAUAUACUUGGUCCCAUUUGACUGACUGAAUCUCUUAUUUAUGUCUAACAAGAUGUCCUUAGCUACGUCAAAACACAUGACACUUGUGGCUAAGUUAGUUGAGAGUGAGUUGGUAAUCCAAGUAAUGAUCAUAUGAUUGCACCUCUCAUAAAAAGGGAAAUUAAGGGGAAUUUGGUGCUGGUUUUGGAAUAGUACUAGUGACUAUCCCCAAUUUAUUUUUGACUGAAAGAGCAGUAAGCAUAUUCUUUCACCAAAUCACAAAACCAGUACCAUCAAAAACAGGAGAAACCAGGCGAGAACCUGGAUUAUCCAAAGGAUGUAGGUAGAAGGGAUGAGUUGGAGACACUGUAAACUCAACAAAACCCUCUAUAGAACUAGUAGUAUCAGUAGAUAUUAGGAGUCAAAAUUAGUAAUAGAAGUAAUACACAAUUGAUAGACUCACAACUUACGAAAUGAAAAUAAGGCUUCCUCCAACUAUUGGAGUAUCUCACAGUUCACACACAUAGUUUACACGGACUACAAGCAACACAAACCAGUAAAAAAACUCAAAAUUGAAUCAUAAACAGGGAUUAACACCCUUCUUCGUAACCUGAAGAAGUAAGGUCUUCAGACAAAUUAAUUUUCGUGAAGAAAUAAAAAAAUUCAUCGAAAAUUCAAUUAACUCCAAAACGUGAACCAGCCAAAACCCUUCAAGGGUAACAUCAGAAGAUAGAAGAAGAAGAGAGGAUCAUGUAUCUCUGCUCUUAUACUAUGUUAGGUAUCUUCAUUCUCAAACCGCCAUUAAUAUAGUGUGUAUAAAUCCUAGAAGGUCAAAGGGUGAAGAAAUGGAAAACAUUCAUUGAAAUGAAAUGAAAAUAUCUACCCUUACCUCUUUCUAGAAGGGUCCACAUACAUUGAUAUACAGAAAUAAUAAAAAUAUGAUUACUAGAUAUAAAAUGCAAUUGGUAUUAUGUUGUUGAACCUGGAUCAGGCUUCCACUUGAGCUUGUCACUGGGCCUAUGUCAACAAUAUGCUUUUAUCUUUGGAGAAAGGACAAAAACGACACUUCAAAUUAAACUAUUUUUAUGAAAAUGGUCAUGAAAUUUAAAUUUCACUUUCUAACCAUUUCAAUUUGCUGGUUUGUUCUAUACCGUUUCUACAAACCUUUCUAUACAAUUUCUAUACAUAUCUUAUACGUAUAAAUAUUCUAUACGAAAAUUAUACAGUUUCGAUACACAAUUUAUGCAAUAAUUGUAUAUUUUUUCUUAUACAUUUUAUACAAGGAAAAAGGCAUCGUUUCUACCCUAGACUAUUAUCGAAAGGUCGAAUCCACACCUAAACUAUUGGAGUGACCUAAUACACACCUAAACUACUUAAAAGUGAAAUUUUUUACACCCUAAAUCUGACGUGAAAAAAAUAUAAUUAUUUAACUAAAAAAAGGCACGUCUAAAAUUAAAAAUAACACACAAAAAAAGUUAAAACUAAAAAUUUCAAUUCAAAUUCAUCUUCUUCUUCUCCAAAAUAAAAAAUCUCCAAACUGAAAAAAAAUCCAAAUUCAAAACAUCCAUCUUCUUCUUCUUCUUCUUCUUCUUCUUCUUCUUCUUCUUCUUCUUCUUCUUCUUCUUCUUCUUCUUCUUCUUCUCCAAAUUCAAAAAUCCCUAGCAUCCAUCUUCUUCUUCUUCUCCAAAUUCAAAAAUCUCCAAAUUAAUCUGAAAAUUUCAAUUUCAAUUUCAAGUUGCUUAUGAGUUUCAAACGAUGAACAAUGGGUGAAAUUCCUUCUUCUUCUUCUUUCCCCAAUUCAAUUCAACCAUCAAAUCUAAUUAUCAACCCCGUCGGGGCUGCAAAUGCGUACAAAAGAUUUCAAAGUUCACAAUUUUCAAUCUUCCCAUGUCAAGAAAAUCUCUGCCUUUUGUGGUACAAUUUCCACAUUGUUUGAUCUUUGAUUUGGCAUCAUGAUUUAUAUGAUUUAAUCAUGAAGUUUUGAAGUGAAAACAUGAUAAUUAGACUGACCAAGCUAUGAUUUUGAUCUUUAUAUCCUGAAAUAUUAUAUAUAUAUAUGAUUUGAAAACAAUGGCUAUGGCUACUUUGUUAACUGAUGGUAAUGGGUUGCCGGAAUAGGUUGAAACAAAGAUAUCUUUAUAUCGCUGACGAUAAUGGGUUGCUGGGUUGAAACAAAGAUCUUAUAUCGCCGACGAUAAUGGGUUGCCGAAAAUCUUGAAGUUUUCCAUUCAUCUAAAUCACCAUGACUACUUUGUUAACUGAUAAAUUCAUUAUGCUUCUUCCACUUUGCUUUGUCAUCAAUGGUGAUGAUGUACAGAUACCCAUUUCAAUUGUUAAGCUGAAAUAUCAAGGAGGAUUUGGACAUUGAAGAAAAAAAAAUUGUCCUCAUAACGAUGGGGGUUUUGAGCAUUGAAAAAGAAGAAGAAGAAGAAGAAAAUUAAAUUUAAAAGAAUUUUUUUUUAUGAAAAUAAUAAAUUUAUUAUUUUAUUCGUAGCAUGUUGACGUGGAGCUGAUGUGGCAGGCGCGUGUGCAACACCACACCGCAUGCAAGUGGUAUAAUGCUUUACAGGGUGUAAAGAGUUUCACUUUUAUAUAGUUAAUGUGUGUAAUAGGUCACUUAUAUAGUUUAAGUGUGGAUUCGACUUUUCUUGUAUAGUUUGGGGUGGAAACGAUGCAUUUUUCCUUUAUACAACAAUUAUAUAAUUUUCAUACACUUUCUGUAUAUUUUAUACAUAUAUAUAUUUGAUAGAACAAUACAAUUUCUAUACAUAUAUCUUAUAUAGAUACAUAUUCUAUAUAACAAUUAUAUCAUUUUUAUAUAAUUAUAUUUAAUUAUUAUUUCUAAACAAUAAAAAAAAGCAGAAUGUUUUUCAGUUAAAGAAUUUAUAGCAAAAAAAAAAAAUUAAAAUAUUUUUAAAAGGGCAGAAUGACCCAAGUUAAAAAGACUGUAUCAGUAUUGUAUAUGAACUGUAUCUAAACUACAUGAGCCAAAAUGAUCCAAAUUAAAAAAUACCUAUAAAGUGAAAAUAGUAUACCCGACUGAUCAUUUUUUUAAAAAAUAUCAAUUUGAGUUAUUUGUUUUAAAAAGUGUUAUAAAGUAUCUUUUUCCUUUAUCUUUUAUGUGAGAGCAAAUUGUGUAGAUUUUUUUUAAAAAAUAUUUAUCGGUACACUUAGUUUAACUAUUUAAAAGAAAUCUUAAUAGCUCUAUUGAUUGACUAUCUAAACUUUUAUUUUAUUGAUGAUAUUGUAAUCCUUCCUGUUUUCCCUUCCCAUCUCCCCUACCUUUUUUUGUUUUUUUAAAAAGAUAUUUUCUUUUAUAUAAAACUUCUUAAUUCAAAUUUUUGAACCAAAUGGCACGCUGUUGGGGUUCUAAUGUGUUGGGUGUCGCUUUACGAGAAGCAAAGAAGAGCCCACCGGAGAAUAAUCUAUAUAUAUCUUAUGGUGUAAAACUCGAUCAGAUAUUCAUUUAAAAUAAUACUUUGAAAAAUAAAUUUAAUAAAAUGUGAAUUCAAAUUUAAUAUUCUAAUACAAAUAUCAAACGCAUCACCAAAAAUAAAAGAAAAAGAUAAAGGCCACUUGUGAGAUAUAAUAACAAUUAACAUAAUUUGAUCAAAUCAAAAGAAUUAUAUUAAAGCAGAGAAGAAGAAUCAAGUAGACACUUCUUAUCUUGUGGUGUAGAACUCAUCAGACAAAUUUGAAAUGGCCUUCUUCUUUUAGUUUAAUAAUUUGUGGCUAUAUAUAGUCUUUAUCUACUGUGCAAUAUAUUAUGAGAGAGAGGUUUGUCUUUGUAAAAUUCUUAUCUUUAAAUAUUGACCAUCAUUUUUAUUUUUUAUGAUAUGUGUGAUUAUGACUCAACCAAGAAUCCAGUUUGGUGUUUGGACCUACUCCUACUUACUCUUUAAUUAUUGGUACUGUUUGUUCAUCCUUUUGAGGUUUACAAUAACACCACUUGGUUCAAGUCCAGUCCUUGUAUCAUGAUGUACCUGUUUAAUUUAAUUAAAGCCUUUAAUUUCUACUACUUGUCUCCUUUUUUAAUUCAAAGUUUGAUUAUUUAACGCUUAAACUUUUAAGUUCUCUUUGUAUCUCCUUCAAUUGAGCACAGUUUCACCUAAUACAACUAGCAUUAACUUUGAUAUUCAUUUAUACAGUCGCUUAAACUAAAACUAGUUAAAGAUAUAUAAACAGAGUCACUUAAUUAGCAUUAACUUAUGUGGCGUUGUAUGAAUUGACACGUGAUUUUUAUAACUUGUGAUCUUAAACAAAUUAACCUUCAAUAUUUGCGUAACUACAAAUCAUUUUAUUAAGGGUAAAAGAAAAACUUUAAGUUACGUUAUUUCUAAUUAUAAAAACAAUAAUAUUCUUUUUGAAAUAUAUUAAAAAAAAUAAAAUAUGUCACAUUUAUUAGAAUAGAUGGAGUAAUAUACAUAACGAGUAACAUUAUGAAAACUAAACUGUAAAUUUGGGCAAGCCAUUUGUGUAAAGAUUCUUGAAUUGAGUUGUACAAGAUCAUACAACCCUUUGCAGUAAUCUAGAAAGGCUUUGCAAAUUCUCCAGACCUCAUUAUUUUUCAUGUUAAUCAAAGUAGUGAAUUGUUCAGGACACAUUUAUUAGUAGUGAAUAGCUGAGUGAAAAAGUUUAUAUUAAAUAUCAAUGCUUCAUCUUUUAUAAACGAACACAAAAACAGGUAACUCGUCAGAAAACCUCAGUUUUCAUAUUUACUCUAUAUCGGUUUGUAAGAUAGAAAACUAAAUGCGUUUCAAUUUUACCAAAUCAAACUUUAAGAUUUGAGUUUAGUUUCACUACUUUCAAUUCUACAUUAGAGUGUGGAUUUUUGCUACACUUGAACCAAGGGUCUUCCGGAAAUAGUCUUUUUACUUUUCCUGAGGUAAUGGUAAGGUCUACGUAACGUCACUUGAGAGAUUUUACUCGACAUGUUGUUGUUGUUGAGUGUGGAUACUGUAAUAUGAGAAUCCAACAUUAGGUAAACCAAGAAUAAAGAUGACUCUAGCUUGGAUAUAUAUCACGUUAAGAAAAUGAAACUUGAAUCUAAACCAAUUUGUAAAAAUUAGCUCAAUCGUGUGAAUAUUUGAAAUUAUAAUUCAUGUCAUUGCAACUUAAAUUUUGACUUACCUUAUUAUUAUUAUUAUUAUUUAAAAACAAGGUGUUCGGUUAAACUUACAUAUACUUGGACUACUAGAUAAGUUUUUCAUCAAAAUUAGAACAGAUAAAAAAGAACUCACCUACUAAUACUUUUGUCUCAUUGGAAUUUGAACCUUUCAUCCAUAAAAAUGUGGAAAAGAUGAGGAAACCAAAAGAGUUAUCUGCAUGAAAUUAGUAAGUUGUUCAAACGAAUUGAUUCUAAAGCUAAAAGCAUUUAUGCUAUCGCCCUGAGAGGGACAAACCCACAAGAUUCUUCUCUUACAGUCUCCUAUCUGAAAGUGAUGUUCUUCUUGAUGAAGUUGACACAUUGUCUAGUAAUGAUGCUUUGAAAUUCUAAAAGGCUAGCAUUCAAGGGUGUCACUUAGUAAUUCAACAAAGUUUGAUUAAACAUCAUGAAAUUUCAGGUUCAAUUUUCUACAGAAAUAAACACUUUAAUCUGUUUUUACCCUUGGAGGAUAGAGUUACCUGGUACCUGUUGUUGGCAGAAGGUGAUCGAUAUCCCGUGAAAUUAAUCAAAGUACGCAAGCCAACCCGUACACUACAAUUAUCAAAAAAAUAAAAAAAUCCAAGUCUUAACUAUUGCUUCUUCCGUCCAUUAUUACUUAUCACUAAUUUACUAAUUGAAUUUUUUUUUACAUUUACUUAUUAUUUUCAAGAUAGCAAGAAAAGACAUUUUUUUUGUAUUUUACCCUUAACACUAAUUGUCUAUUUUUCAAAUUAAUUUCAAGUCACAUAAUGAUGUUGAUAUUUUCUAUUUUUCAAAUUAAUUUCAAGUCACAUAAUGAUGUUGAUAUUUUCUAUUUUGAUGUUUUUUAUUUUUGGUGGGCUGUGUACUUUUGGCCAGCCUGCUAGCUAUGUAAAUAUCUUGAAUUUUUGUUGAAUAAAAUACGACCCAUGUGGUCUUUGAUUUAAAAGAAAAAUAAAAAAUGCAAGGCACAAUACUAACCAUCGAUUAAUAAAGAUAUUAUGAUAAAAUAACUACAUUAGUAAGUAUUUUUUUAAAGGGUGUGUUAAAUCAAAAUGUGAACAGUAAAAGUGAGGGGAGUUACUUUAUGGGGCUAUAUCUAACAUAAGAAUAGACAGGAAAAUAUAGAACAAAAUUAAGUUAAUUAUAGAAUUGAAUAAAUAAAUGAAAAUUUAUGCUGUUCCUUGAUUCCACACACCUCCAUCUAAAAGAAGAGAUUUGUACACCAUAUGACAAAAUUAUAAGAACCAUAAUCACUUUUUUCUUAGAUACUUUCAACUGAUUACUUAACAAUGUUUUUCAAACAUAGCUACUUAGAAAUAUAGGUGGCACCUCUUGGUUUUAGGCUCAUGUUUUGUUCUCUCUAUAUCACACAAAUUCAUCUGCCAACCUGUCCUCAUCUCCAGCUCAUAGUGUUCUGUUUAUCAUUUAAGACAUGUAAAUCAUAAGAGUAUGUAAUACUUUAAAAAGUAAAGACUAAGAAUUUACAAGAGAAUGAUUGGAGGAGCUAUUGGUAUGGAAAAAAAGAGCUUACAUUAUUUAAGACAUGUAAAUCAUACUUAGAGAUAGUACACUAAACACAAAAAAAUCCGCAAUGUCUUAAGAAAGAUUAAUGGCACUUCCGCAUAGUUUUUCUAUUUCGUCUUCCAAAACCUUUUGCAGGUUUGCCUUGGUUCGCCUAUAGAUCCAACCUUGAGAGUUUUGGUCCCAGUCGAACCUUGAUGGACCGCUGCAACAAAAAUGUUUCGUGAACACAAUGGAGAACGGAUGGGUGCAUAUCUGAAUACCCAAAGUUUAACACAAACCAGAAGAAUAAAUUAUGAGAUGACGAGUUUAUCAGUAAAAGCUUAAGAAAAUUAAAUAAUCAUAGUGUAUUGAAGUGGCAAUUGAACUAGCUCUUUUGGGGAUACAAUAGUAAUUCAGACAGUACGUUUAAACAUUCUUGCGAGUACUUCUAGUUUAACUUUCUACAUCAGAAUCAGAACAACUAAAAGAAAAUGAAAUAUAGCGAAAUUUUAUUAAGUCAAUUUUUUACAAAACAAGUAUCAAAAGUUUCCUUCACUUCUCUUCCUUAUGGUAGAACCUACUUCCUGGUACUCUGUUUUGUAAUAAAACUAAGGAAAGGUGGUAAUGAACAAUGGCCUCAUCAAAAGAAAAGCACUUUGAUCUUCAAAUCUCAUCAGUUAAAGAAUGUGGAAAAGGUCAAGCUCUACAUCAAAGAGACAACUGCACGCAAUCAAUUGGUGCUUUUGGCAAAAAACUCGAAAACUAAAGGAAAAAUGAUAAUACUAAGAUCAAAGAACUUUAAAGGGAGUGAUCUGAAUCCUAGACGCUGUUGGAAACGCUAAAUUGGGUAAUCAGAUUUAAAUGAGCAGAGUGUGUAAUUGGAUACAAGUUUAAGUACCAAAGGAGGAACUAUCAAUGAAGAAGCUGCACCAUUGAUGACACCAGCAAACCCAGGCAAGAUUUUAGUUCACUGUCUAAAAUAAGAUUAAAGAUUUUUGAACUUCUCUGCAAGAAUCCAGUUACAGAACAGCUCUGCUAAAAGUGUAAUAGUUAGAUGAAAUCAACGUAUUGUUUGAGCAUCACAGCCUAGAGGUAGUUUUUGCGAAAAUUUAGGAAAUAUUCAAUUUUUGGUAAGUCGUGUUUUAGGUAUUCUGUCGUUCUUUCCUGACAACCAAGUAUUAGUUUCAUAACUACAAAUCACAUUUUGUUUUAAUAUGUAUAGGGCAGAGUACAGAGAAAGCCCCUCAAUGAUCCAGACUCUUUGUGCUGGAGUCUACCCUAAGACUCACACUGGUACUUUAACAAUUGCUUGCUGCUCUAAAUAUAAUCUGUAUAUAUAUUAGACUCCUCAAAGUUGUUUAUUUAAUAUUGAUUUUGAACGCUGUUUCUUUUUUUCCUAGCAUGUCACACUUUAUAUUACGCUACAGGAAGUACAAGAAAUGUUUCCGAGUAGGCGAAAAGAGAUAGCAACAAAAUUAUAGAUGGAGGUGGCACAGGGGGAUGUAUUUUGUGUUGGUAGGUUGCUAUUUGAUAUGGUCCACCUCAAGCAUAUAUGAAAAUAAAAAGAUAAACCAAGACACAUCAGGAAUGCAAAUACAAAGAGAGAGAGAGAGAGAGAGAGAGAGAGAGAGAGAGAGAGAUUUGUUUAUCACAUAGGUUCCCAAGCUCCCAAACUUCAGUGUUAAAACCUCAUUCUGAGAACAAAACAUAGAAUAUCAAGACAAAUUCAGAACAUUGAAAGAGAUACAUUUUAAAGCCAUUUUAUCCUUCUCACCCCAUAAUCCACAUCGAAACCAUCAAUGUCAACUGAGUCCCCAUAUUCCUGUCAUGUAGAAAAAGACAUAUAACUGUCUUAACCAAUCAAAUAAUGCAGAAUGCUAAUCAUAUAUAAAAUACAACUCAACUCAACUUUGACAUUAGCAGAUUGAUAAACAAUGAUAACAACAGAUGGAAGGAAGAGGCGCUGCAUGGGGCUAAAAUUUCUUCAGGGAAAUGAUUUAUGAAUGCAUGAUGCACAACCCAUGUUUGGGGUAACAUGUUCUUCAACUCCCCAACAAAAAAUAGAGCAUCUUCAAACAUCCACUUGGAAAAUUCAAUCAAAAUGACAUAUAAAAGAGUUCACGUAUUAGUAGAGUCCACUCUGAUUUACAUUCAAAGGCUGAGGUUCAAAUCGUCAACUUAACGACGAUAAAUUUAAAUAUUAGAAGCAUACUAUCAACAUAUAACCUAACUAUUGAUAUAUAGGCCUUGCUCAAGAGAUAAGCUCUCCGUUGAUACUAAAGGUAAAGAGAAUCCAAAGUCAAGUUUUGAAUUUCAAGUUCUGAUACCAGCGAAAUUAUUUUUGAAGUUGGUAAUAGUCUAUAGAAAGCCAUUUUUUUUUCAUUUUGAGAUACAUAGAAAAACCAUACACUGUGAAAUUAGUCAAGGUGUAUGCGAGCAAACCCAGACACCACGGUUAUCAGGAAAUUAAUUCUCCCUUCUAUCUAUCCGAAUUAUGGAACUUUCUUCCCGAGCUGCCUAUUAGAAAGUCGAAUCAGCAACUUACAUGAGCUUUCAAGUGACUUCUAUUCCUUGAUUGCCCCGCAAGUUAAACAAGGGAUUCUAAUGCUUCUUCAAGUCAAAUAAGGGCAUAAACAUGUUACAUUUUAUGUGGCCACAGAAGAUGAAACUUCUAACCUCACCCAAGAUGGCUAAAAGUUCUUCAUUCUUUUAAUUUUGCUAAACACAUGUACUUAAAAUGAACUAAGUUUAAGUUCCUGCUGGCUGCUACUAUAUAAGAUCUUGGAAACAAAAAAAAAAGAAAGAUGAAAUGUCACAUCACAGUACAUAUUGAUCUAAAAUGUAUUAAAAAACAAAUAUAAGGCAAAAAUUAAACAAGGAAAACCAAAUGUAUGUUUGAUAUACUGGACAAGGCCUUAAAUCAGAUGUGUUCCCUAAGAUUCUCUUAUGCGUAUAUUGCACAUGGACGUUUCAUAAUGCCAGUUGAUGGCCUAAUUAACUGGUUAGAACUUUCAAAUGUGAUGUGUUGGCUAAGCAAAGUAUCGGUCCUGCUCCUGGCUUAACCAUCCUACGUGACCAACCAUUCAUAAAAAAUCAGUCUUAUUUUAUAAGUCCAAGUUACUUUUUAUAAUCGAUAAAUCCGUGAGGGCAAGUAGCCAAGGCUCACAACUCAACGGAUACCAAGCUUUUAUUUAAGGGAAGUUCUUGAUACUAACUAAACUUUUGGAAACCAAAAAGAAGAUCCAAUACAAACUAACACAAAAAAUUUAGACUGACUGCUAAACAUCAGCAACCACAUUAAAUAUCAUAGUUUACACGAAGAUAUAGCUACAUAUACUGAAAAUUCUCAACUUAAAUUAAAAUACAAAUUAAGUUAAAGUAACUAUAUUAAAAUACAUCAGGAUACCUCCAACUUAUCUAGCAAGUCAUGGAUAGUGGCAUUAGCCAGUCUGUGAUACUCAUCUUCCUGCAGCAGAGAUCUGUAGAUAUAUAAAUUUAGUAUGAAGAUAGAGACGCAUUUUCCUCUACAACAAUAAAUUCCAACUAUGGAAGGACAUUCUAAGAAUCAUAUACAUAAAACAACCUCCUCUGUAGAUUUUACAGAGAGAGCAAAACACACACAGAGGGGAAUAGAGCAAAAGUGAGAGGGAAGGAAUCAGAAAAAGUUGGUCUCUAAGAUGAGAAUCACUGGUACUGUACAUAAGGCACAAAAAUCUAAGUAUCAAACACUGAUUAUUUGGAACUAUUGACAUGCAGCAAAAUGGGAGCUUUAGCAAUGAAAAUCCAUAGGACAAGAGUUCAAAUGUUUUAUACUGCUCUUCCUUUUAACACAUAGAGGAAAGGAGUACCAUUUCAAUCAUUCCCAAUUUACUUUUCACUUUUCAAGCUUAGCUUUACAAUGUCCAGAAAUUCAGUAUUAACUUUUCAGACAAUUCUGUUUCCCCCAUAUAAGAUCUACAGGAGCCAGGCAAAACAGUUUCAGACUUAUGUGCCGCUAUUUGAAGCUUCUGAUGACUUCUUCUAAUUUUCAUCAGAUUUUUGUUUUACAACCAACUUAGUUUUACCUCACAUUACAUCAACACGUGCAAUGCACCUUCAAUCAAAACAAAUCAAAAUAGCUAUUCCUUCAUCACUGCUAAGUGUAAGUCAAACACUAAACGACAUCUAUUACCACAGCCACUUCUAGUGCUGGAACACGGCUUCAAAAUCAGUACGUUGACCUGCAGAACUCUUCCAGAUUAAUUAUAUUACCUGCAUUCUAUCCUCACUUAUACUGGAAGUCAAACACAUUGGAAAAAUCAAAGAUUCUCUGAGAUACAGUAUCAUAUGAGGACAUUAAACUGCUUAAUCGAACUAAAAGGAUUUCAUUUUUGAACAAUUGUGUGUUUCAACCCUCUACAAUGAUGCUUAGCAAUUACACAAAGGAGGUUGAGAGAGGGAAAUCAGAAGGGUGUAUGUUUGGUAUGAUGGGACAUGUUUUCCUCAAUGCAUUUGUUUUCCACGAAAAUACAAGAAGUGAUUAUGCCACUUACAGAAGCCAUUUUAAUUUACAGAGAUCCUAAUUCUUAUUCAAUCUCACUUACUUCAAACAACGCUUAGACAUGGAGGUCGAGGAUUAAGGUAUGAGGCCAGUAGGUAGCUAAGUGUUGUCACACUUUGUGUGGGAGAGGCAGGGGUCUAGCCACCCUUUCCUCUUCUCCCUUUUUAUAGUAUUUUCUAGUUAUUGCAUAUUUUCCUAUUCUUCGAUGUGUACUACUAUUUGUAGCUGCAUUUAUUUUGUAUUUUGCCACUUUGUUGUCUUACUCCCUUACAAUCCUGCAUUGGAUACAUUUCUAUUGAGUUGACGGUCUACCGGAAACAGUCUCUCUACCGUUCUACCUCACACAAGUAGGGGGAAGGUCUACGUACAUCCUAUCACCCCCAGACACCACUUGUGGCAUUACACUGUGUUUGUUGCUGUUGCUGUUGCUGUUUAGACAUUGGUCAUUUACCUUUACUACCCAAAAUAUCACCAACAUUUUACCCUCAUACUCUAUCAUACACCUUGUACACUUACCAUAUGUGACGCAUCUCUCCAACGAAACACUGGACAGACAAUAUUUCCACGGAAAACACUUUCCUCCAUACCAAACGCACCUGGUACGAUUUCUACUUCUAGAAAUCCUCAACCCGCACGCUCACUGGUACUCUCCAAUCUAACAUUCAAGUCUAAUAAAGUCCUAAAUUAUGCCCAAUUUCUCAACAGAAAAACAAUUCUAGUUAUAGAUACUCAACCUCCGUUCUCCAAGAAUCUGAGUAGCUCAUUUGGUUGAUUACCCAUCCUCUUGAAUUGGUGAUUUUUACUGCUUAAUUAUUUAUUAGUUAGGUAGUUUAAAAGCAAAUAAAAAGCUUAAUCUUUAAAACCAAAUAACUGCCUGUAACUUAUUUUCUUAGUGAUAUCGAAUAACUUAUAGCUGAACCUCAGUUCUCCAUGGCAUUCGACUUCGGAUGCAGCAACCGCUUAUCGGAUACAAUUCCCGACCUUGCAAUACCCUCCCCUAUUUCCCCUACCUCCAAUUAAAAAAAAAAAUCCGUUCUCCAAUUAAUCAAGCACAUUCUAUAAUCACUAAAUUACUCAGCAAAAUCAACAAAAGAAAAUUGUAAUUACACCACGUAAGCGAAGCUAAAAAUUGGAACUAGAUUUUGAUGGAUUUUGGAUGUGUUUUGAAUCAGAUUAUGUGUUUCCACUCUUUACAGUGAUGCUUAGCAAUUACACAAAGGAGGCAGAGAAAGGGAAAUCAGAAGGAUGUGUGUUUGGCAUGAUGGGAAAUGUUUUCUUCAAUGAAUUUGUUUUCCACGAAAAUACUAAAAGUGAUUACGCCACUUACCUGCAAAAGUCACUUUCAUUACAAAGAUCCUAACUUUUACUCACUCUUAACUUAUUUCAAACAAUGUUUUGAUAUUGCUUCUUGACCUCUACAACCCAAAUUAUCACCAAAACUUUACCCUCACACUCUAUCCUACACCUUGUACAGUUAUCAUAUCUAACACUCCUCUCCAACAAAACACCGGACAGACAAUAUUUUCCAUGGAAAACAAUUCCCUCCAUACCAAAUACACGUGCUCCUAUUUCUUUUCUUUAUUUUUUGAUAACCGUUAGGGGUGUACAUCGGUCAGUUCGGUUCGGUUUUACGUGUUAUUGGUUCGGUUUAUCGGUUUUUGGUCCUUAACGGUUCGGUUUUCGGUUUAACCAAUAAGAAAAUACUUAUAAAAUAGAAAUAGUAACAACUAACAUAAAAAAAUGAAAUCUUAAUUACCACCAAAACCUACGCAAUGCAUUUAGUUUACAAGAAUCUUCAAGCUUAAACUGAAUGUUAGUUAGGAAAAAAAUUGAAUCCUAAUUGUUGGAAGCUAUAAAUUCUUCAAGCUUUUUAUUACGAUAACAUCCGAUCUUUAUAUUGUGCCUUUGUUGCCCUGAAUAGGUUAAUACUUUGUGAAUCACUGAAUUAUGAAUUAAUAGUGCAUAUAAUCUAUAUACAUACACAUAUCUAUAUAUAUAUAGAGAGAGAGAGAUAAAAAGAGAGAGAGAUUUAAAUAUAUCACAUAAAUAGGGAUAAAACAAUAACUUAGUGUAUCCUUAUUGGGUUAUCGGUUUAACCGAUAACCCAAUAAGCUAAAAUUGAUACCGCACCAUUUACCCAAUAAAAUUUUUUAUAAAACCAAUAAAAAACCGUUAACCCGAUAACCCAAUACCAAUAACAUUUUUAUCGGUUCGGUUUUUGCACAGCCCUAAUAACCGUGGUGACCGGGCUAACUUGCACGCACCUGACUAAUUCCAUGAAAUACCUUCCAUCUCCCACCAACAUCGGGUAUUAGGUGCCUCUGUCCACCCAGGCUAGAACGGAUUGGGAAGAAAUAACCUAGUGUUUUGACUCUACUUAGAAUUAAUAAUAUUCUUUAAUCUAACGUUCAGGUCUAAUAACAUCCUAAGGUAUCCCCAAUUUGGCAACAGAAACACAAUUCUAGUUAUAGAUACUCAUUCUCUAUUCUACGGAAAUCUUAGUAGCUCAGUUGGUUUACUACCUACAUUUUCAAGUUGUUGGUGAGAGUUCAAUUCUCCACCUUGUAAUCUCCCUUCUCCAAUUAUUCAACCAAAUUCUAUUACAAUCACUACAAUUACUCAGCACAAUCAGCAACAAACAAAAAAUCCCACAAAAAAAUGUUAACUACAAUAAAACCUACCGGUAAUCGAUGGCAGCAGGACCUUCAGAAGCAUCAUGAAGAGGUGAAGAUCGCGAACAAAAGCUUCUAGAAACUUCUGAGAGGUAAGAUUUGGAUAGAGAACUGGAAGGUUCUCGAAGAUAUUUAUGAGUAAAAGUAGAAAGAAAUGACGUUUUAAUCGUUAAGGAGGAAUUAGGUUUGAGAGCUCUGUAAAUCGGUAAUCGAAGUAGAAGCAAUUUCCUUGAACAACAAGAAGAAGCCAUUUUUUUGCAUUUUUCGACUUAACCAUUCUAGUUAUUUUACAGAAGCUUCCAACAGGCCCAAGCCCAUUUUAAAUACUUUUUUUUUGGGCCUUUCAAUGUUCAAAUAUAAUAAAUACCUUUGAUAUCAGAAUAAUAAAUAAUUUUUCAUCAAGCAUAGGUUUAUACUAACACGACGUAAUAUCCCAUAAGUUAAGUCUUACUAAUAACUUCAUUCCUACAAAACUUACGUCGAGUGAGGCAAAAUUUCAGCUUUAGAACUCACAUGUUGUAAGAGGCGUAAAAAGAAAUUUCGUAUCAUAUAGCUUAAUUCCUAUAGAACUUAUGUCAAGUGAGGAAAAUGUUUUAUCUCAAAAUCCAUAAAUUAUCCCGUAAAAAGCAUAACUUACUUUCUACAGAAUUUAUAUCGAGUGAGGAAAAAUUUGUCUAAACUUAUAUUAAGUAAAUUGGGUCAUAAAAAUACUAUAUAACUUAUGCCACAUAAUUUAAUUCCUACGAAACUUAUUUCAAGCAAAUUAGGUCACUUAUGAAAAUUAAAUCAGGUAAAUAUCAAAUCAUUUUAGUGCAACUCAAGCAACGACUCGAGAGAAAAAUAAAAAAGUAGCAAAUACUAUAAAGCUUUAGUUAUAUGGGGAUUAUUAUGGGGAAUCGAAUUCUCAUCAAUAAGAUGAAAGUUCAGAUAGCCAACCAACUGAGCUACUAAAAUUCCUAAGCUUAAGUUAUAUACAUUCACGAAUAUAUACAAAAAGUUAUUUACGCAAGAACAAAAACAAUUGGCGUUAUUCAAACCAAUAUACAAACUUCCUUGCAUACAAAAAAAAAUAAAAAUACAUGAGUAAUACUUACAAAAUAUCUUACACUGCCCGUUAAUGUAUAAAGUUAAAGUAAAUGCUUAAUAAAGUUAAUAUAUCUAACCAUAUAUAUUGUCAAAUGGUUAAUUAUUGUAGUAGGUAAACUGUUACGUUCAUGCACGGUUCACGUCCUGUAAUAUCUAUUCAUGACAAGAUUCAUUAAUUUGUAGGUUAAUUUAGUCAAUUAAGCAUCUAGAUGGCUUUUGUUUUUGUGGGGUGGGGGUAUCUAGAAAAAUUUCUUAAAUACAAUCAAGAUGGUUUUGACAACAAAGGUAGCAUCUGUAUUACUUAUUUUUAAUUACUCCUUCUGAUAUUUUUUGAAUUUCGAAACUUAAAUAAGUUUAUUUUGACCGCAAUCACUUUUUUCAUAUUUUUGAGUUUUCAAUUAUUGACUUUUUAAAUAUAUAAUUUUUAUUUCAAAAAGUUUAAAAAUUUUAUAUUCAAAUUUAUAUUUAAACUUCAAACUAUUUAAGUUUGGAAAUUAGCAAGCGCGGACAGAGGGAGUACUAUGAUUGGGUCAUCAGCACAGACGAGGUUAUCAUUGACUUAUACAUCCUCUAAAAUCAAUUUUACAACUUUGUAGCUAGCUACUAGCUACCCCACACACAUUUAAUUUUGCCGUGUGUAAUGAUAAUAAUGAAGUCACCUUCACAUUUCAUCAGUGUCAGUUUCAUAUAUAUGCAUGCUAAUCAAGUCUUCGCUGCAUAUAUGAAUGCACACUGUAAUCAUUUAAAAUUAACGCAAUUUUAUUGUCUACACAUACCUAUAUAUUGUAAGGAAUCCUGUAACACUAGCAUAUGUGCAUUAUAUUAUACAUUAUUGUGAUCAUAGAGCUGGUUAAUUCCUUUCGUCUUCUAGCUUUGAGGCGAAUAAUUAACACAAUAUUAUUAAAACCAAGUUUUUGUUGGGACUUUGCUUGAACUUGCUUCCAAUGUCCCCAGAGAUUAUUCAAUGGAGUUAUGAUGUUUUCUUAAGUUUUAGAGGCGAAGAUAUACGCAAAUCUUUUGUUGAUCAUCUCUAUGUUGCUUUGCAACAAAAGGGGAUCAACACCUUCAAAGAUGACCAGACAUUACAGAAAGGCAAUUCUAUUUCACUAGACCUUACCAGAGCAAUUGAAGAAUCACGUAUAGCUUUGAUUAUUUUCUCCAAAAACUAUGCUCAUUCGACGUGGUGUUUGGAUGAAGUAGUGAAAAUCAUGGAAAGCAAGAAUGUGAAAGGACAAAUUGUUCUUCCAGUGUUCUAUGAUGUAGAUCCAUCAACAGUGAGGAAACAAAAAUCCAGCUUUGGAGAAGCAUUUAGCAAUCAUGAAGAUUGUUGCAAGGUGCAAAAAUGGAGAGCAGCACUGGAGGAAGCAGCUAAUUUAUCUGGUUGGGAUUUGCCAAACACUGCCAAUGCGUAAGUAUCAUAUAGGAAACCAAUUAUAUAUCUUUAUUUAAAGCCCAUAUAACCAUGAUAUAUUGUAAGUGGUGCGCAAUCGCAAUACUUAAAAAAUAUGUCUGCAAUAAAUGUCUCAACUGAAUUGUUUGUGGGAAUUCACUGGGUAUAUUGUUGUUGUUGUAACUGAAUUGUUUGAGAAUCUUAAGUAGGAAAUGAACAUCUUAAACUGUGAGAAAUUGUCAAUGAAAUAGGUUGUGAGCUAUCAAAUUUCUAGUUCAAAUACCAGUGAAAACAGGCUCAGACACCAUGGCCAUAUGAAAAUUAGUCCGGAAAGAUUACAAAAUAAAAGUAAAAAUGUCAAGUUUACUAAAUAGAAUCAGUGGUUAACAAAAUCAGUAUUAUUAGGGAACUGGUUUUAAACCAUUAUAUCUGCUGUUCGUUUUGUUUGGCCAUGGUCGAAAUUAUACUUCAUUAGAUCAAGUUGGGAAAGAGCACAUUGAGAUUUAGCGGGUAAUUGUCCCAGGGAUUACUUAUCCUGGUAGGACCAAAAAAAAGUUACUUUUUUUAUAACCGUGGUGUCCAAGACAGUUUGCACUCACCUAGACUAAUUAAUUCCACAGUAUACAUGUCACCUCCCACCAGCAACAGGUACCAUAUAACUCUACUCUGUCCGCCAAGGCAACAAUUGAGACGAAAUGAAAUUUUUACUAUGCCACAAAACAGAUAUUUAGGACAUCUUUUGUGGUAUGCAGGCAUGAAGCUAUGGUGAUAAAGCAAAUUGUGGAACAUAUAAUGGCUAGAUUGGGUAGUCAUAGACAUGCAAGAAAUGCUGAAAAUCUCGUUGGAAUGGAGUCACGUAUGCAAAAAGUGUAUAAAAUGCUUGGCAUCGGUUCUGGUGGAGUUCGCUUCCUUGGAAUAUUGGGAAUGAGCGGAGUGGGGAAGACAACUCUAGCGAGAGUCAUUUAUGAUAAUAUUCGGAGUCAAUUUGAAGGUGCAUGUUUUCUUCAUGAAGUUAAAGACCGUUCAGCAAAACAAGGCCUAGAGCGCUUGCAAGAGAUACUUCUUUCUGAGAUCCUUGUGACAAAUGAUCUAAGGAUCAACAAUUUAUAUGAAGGAGCCAGUAUGGAGAUAGAAAGAUUACAGUACAAAAAGGUUCUUCUUGUUCUUGAUGAUGUUGAUCACAUAGAUCAAUUAGAAGCUUUAGCAGGGAAGCGUGAAUGGUAUGGUCUCGGAAGUAGAGUUAUCAUAACAACUAAAGAUAAACACUUGCUUGUUAAACAUGAGGUAGAAAAGAUAUACAGAAUGACAAUGUUAAAUGACAAUGAAAGUUUGCAGCUCUUUAAGCUAUAUGCCUUAAAGAAAAACCAUCUUUCAGAGGAAUUUAGGGAUCUCUCAGCUCAAGUUAUAAGGCAUUCUGGUGGACUCCCCUUGGCUCUGAAAGUCCUGGGUAGUUUCUUGUAUGGAAGAGAUUUCGCUGAAUGGAAAAGUGAAGUGGAACGAUUGGAACAAAUCCCAGAAGAUGGAGUUGUGAAGAAACUCGAACUAAGUUUCAAUGGACUCAACAACAUUGAACAAAAGAUAUUACUAGAUAUUGUGUGUUUCUUUAUAGGGAAGAAGAAAGAAUCAGUGACAAGAAUAUUAGAGAGUUUUAAUUUUAGCCCUGUUAUUGGCAUAAAGGUUCUCAUGGAGAAAUCCCUGAUUAUGGUUUCACAAGGUCGGAUUCUAGUGCAUCAAUUGAUACAAGAAAUGUGUUGGUAUAUUAUUCGUCAAGAAGCUUCGGCUGAUCCAAGAAGGUAUAGUAGGUUGUGGUUACCUUGGGAUAUUUCUGAUGUACUUGCAGGAGAUUUGGUAAGUAUAUGCAAAAGCGAAAGUUUCUAAUUAGGCAGAAUUCAAGAAGUAGCUAAUAUAUGAUGUAAUGUUAUAAAUACCAUUGUCUUUCUUGUUUAUCCAAAGUUUACUUUUUACAUAUUCACUCUUUCUUAAUCAGGGGACUGAAAAGAUCGAAGGCAUGUCACUGAACUCGGAUUCUGUACAAGCAGUGAAUGUCAGCAGUGCAGCUUUCCAACAAAUGAGCAGACUAAGGUUUCUAAGUAUCCAGAACAUGAAUGUUCCUCAGGGUCCUAGUUUUCUUCCUGGUGAGUUGAGGUGGUUCAAUUGGCAUGCAUAUCCAUCAAGAAGCCUGCCUGUUAGUUUUCGGGGGGAAAAGCUUGUUGGUUUGAAGUUGAAAGAUAGCCGAAUCACACAACUUUGGCAAGGCUCCAAGGUAUGUAUAUAGUCGGAGUACUAAUUAUCCUUUACAUUUCUAAUCAUUAGGUAAAUGAUCUAAAGAUGAAAUGUUCAUCCAACAAGCUUAUGGCUAUUCUGCUUUCUUUCUCUUUGAUUUUUUUCAUUAUGACAGGUUCUAGGAAAAUUGAAAUACAUCAACCUUAGCCGAUCAGAGAAGCUAAUAAGGACCCCAGAUUUAUCAGGUACCCCUAAUCUUGAACGGUUGGUUCUUGAAGAGUGCACAAGUUUGGUAGAAGUCAAUUUUUCUGUUGGAGAUCUCAGAAGGCUAGUCUUACUGAAUCUGAAGAGUUGCACAAAGUUAAAGACCCUACCAAAGAACAUUCAAUUGGAAAAUCUUGAGGUUUUUAUCCUAUCAGGCUGCUCAAAACUCAAAACAUUCCCAGAAAUAAAAGAAAAAAUGAAUCGUUUAUCAGAACUAUACUUGGAAGGAACUGCUUUGAGAGAACUGCCCUCGUCAAUUGAGAACCUUUCAGGAGUUAGUUUGAUAAAUCUAAGUUACUGCAAGCAUCUUAAGAAUCUUCCAAGCGGUAUUUUUAGAUUGAAGUGUCUAAGAACACUUGCUCUAUUCGGGUGCUCAAAACUCGAAAAAUUAUCAGAUGAUGUGGGGCUUUUAGAGUGUUUAGAGGAGCUCUACUGUGAUGGCACAGCCAUCCGAACAAUUCCCUCCUCUAUUUCUCUUCUAAAGAGCCUUAAGCACUUAUCUUUUCAUGGAUGUACUGCAUUGGGGUUACAAUUAGACAGCUCAAUCUUCUCCUCUUGGCUUCCAGGGAAAGGUCAAAACUCCAUGGGUCUAAAUAUUUCUAACUUGUCAAGUCUUUGUUCAUUGACAACGCUGGAUAUUAGUCACUGCAAUAUCUCCGACGGAGGCACCCUAUGUAAUCUUGGGUGCUUAUCAUCUUUGGUGGAAUUGAAUCUUAGUGGUAACAGUUUUACCAAUAUUCCAGAUGCAAGCAUCAGUGGUCUUACCCAACUCAUACGCCUCGAAUUGGUUGGCUGUAGGAAACUUGUUAGAUUUCCAGAGCUUCCUCAAUGUAUAGAAGAGGUACAUGCAGAUGAAUGCACACCUUUUGAGAGCAUAGAUCAACUAGUCAAAUAUCCAAUGUUGCGCUGCGUCUACGGACGAUGUUUUCAUCAUGGUGCUGACUAUGACAAGAUUGAUGCGCUUUGGAAAAACAUGACCAAGGUAAAAUACUCGUUGCUUGUUCCCGCAAAGAAUCUUACUACUGCAAAGUGAUAGGCAAAAUUAACAUUCCUUUAACGAACAGGCCCAUGAAAUUCGCGUGGAUUCAAUGUUUGCAACUCUCGGUCAGAGAAACCCGGGUGGUUUACAUAUACAAACGUGGGGAAGAAUUUUUCGGUGACCACUUCCAAGUCAGUCUGAUAUGUUUGAUCCUCCAAGAAGCGCAUAGCAUAGAAGCUUUUUGAUGAAGUUCUCCAUCUUCAAAGACAUACUUCCCAGUGUCCUGACUAAGUACUUUCCUAUCAGUUUCUUCUCUUGUAAGACCGUUUUCCUCUCCAUAAGAAACAACGACAACAUUUAGAAUCUUAGCCUGAAGAUGAGGAUCAAACAAAUAUAUUAAACCGACUGAGCUGUGUUUUAAAUCAGCAGCAGGUCCAGCUAGUAUUAGGCCUGAGUCAUUGGGUUGCAAGGUAUGCUAUCUUUAUCGCAUAGUUGUGUCGUUUCUCCAUCUGGAGGAAACGAGCAAAACGCAAGGCUGAUAGUCUAACUAGAAUUAGUUUCCUUUUUAAUCGCUUCUGCUGUUGUCUUUUCUCUUGAUAGAUAGAGAUACUUACUGCAUUAGAAGAAUUAUCUUCUUCUUAAUUCUCUACGUCGUCAAUGACACCCUCUUACCAGUAUGCUGAUUUCAUUUUGUAAGGGAAAAAGUACGGAAAUGUUAUUGUGAAUAAGAAAGAGAUGGUCAUACUGAAAGCUGCUCGACUUCAAUGAAGUCAUAUUAGACAAUACUGCCAAAUUGUUAGUGGUUUUCAUGUCCUUAAUCCAUGCUGCUUGCUUUCAAUAUUCAUUUGUUGACUGACUUCCUCAGUUUUAUUUUUUUUUAAUACGCUUAGUUUCCUGGAAAAUGAGUAUAUACAAAUAAUAAUAAUACGGAUGAAAUUUCUGUUAGUAUAUUGAGACCUUUUGUCAUGCAUAUAUAAAAUUAUAAUUGUGAAGAUGCCUCUGCAACAGUAGGAGUUGACAGCAUCUUAUAGUUGGCCAUUUACUUUCUCAGACAACAAAAAUGAUGAAGAUCUCUUCUUAUUCCUCUAAUCAUACUUCAGUGGAACUGCCAUCUUUUCUCAAGUUCUAGAGAUGAAGACGUUUGCAAGACAUUUGUUUGUCCCUCUCUAGUUGCUCUACAUCCAAAGGGUAUUCAUACCUUCAAAGAUGCCGAGAAACUAGAGAGAGGCAAGUCCAUUUCACCAGAUCUUAUGAGAGAGAUCGAAGAGUCAAGGAUAGUCUUGAUCGUACUCUCCAAAAACUACGCUAAUUCAACAUGGUGUAUUAGAGGGAUUAACAAAGAUCAUGGAAUGCAACAAACAAAAAGGACAAAUUGUCCUUCCGGGGUUCUAUGCUGAAGAUCCAUCAAUUGAGGAAACAUAAAAAAAAACAGCUAUUCAGAAGCAUAUACCAAUCAUGAAGGCUGUUUCAUGGAUGACAAGGUGCAAAAAUGGAGCAAGCAGCUAAUUAAUCUGGCUGGAAUUUGCCAAAUACUGCCAAUGUGUAAGUAUCCGGAAACCAAUUUCAUAGUGAUAAUUGGUCAUGUACUCUCUAAUUUUUUGGAUCGUUUAACUUCUAUUUUGCAUCACGAGGCCACAAUAUUAGGGAGAUUUGAUUUUAUAAUCCAUUAAUUUGCUAACACAUUUGGUUGCUCCAACGAGUUCAACUGUGAUUCCAAAUUUUUGGACUCCAUUGCGUAGUUUCUAAAGUAAGAACGAACUUAAUAAUAGAGAUAGAUCUUAUGGUAUAUGGCCUCUCCCUAUCAUAUUUACUAUGUAUCUUGAUCUCCAGAGUUCCCAAAUGAUAAUUCACGGCAUGUUUAUACAUAACAGAAGCUAUAAAGUGUUCUAUUUUAUGUUACUUAAAUAGAUUUCUUUCUGUAUGUCUCGUCGCAUUGCAUAAAAUUGCCGGAAGUCAUGAACUGCUAUAUAAAGAGCUAAAAUCAGUGUUUCAACAUCUGGCGGGAAAUCAGAAAUUCAUGAAAAGUUCAGUAUGUGGUAUUUAGGCAUGAUGCUGGACUCAUAAAGCAAAUUGUGGAAGAUACAAUGGCUAAAUUGAGUGGACAGACACAUGAAAGCAAUGCUGAAGAUCUUUGUUGGAAUGGAGUCACAAAUGCAGAAAGUCUAUAAAAUUCUUGACAUCGAGUCUGGUGGAUUUCCUUUCCUUGGAAUAUUGGGAAUGGACGGAGUGGGGAAGACAACUCUAGCAAGAAUCAUUUAUGGUAAUAUUUCAAGUUAAUUUGAGAGUUCAUGAUUUCUUCAUGAGGCUCUAGAGUACCGUAACAAGGCCUAGAGUGAUUGCUAGACAUGCUAGACAUACUUUUUUCCGACAUCCUUGUCCAUAAAAGACCUAAAUGAUUAACAAUUCAUUUGAAGGAAUUAAUAUGCAAAAACAGAAACUACGGUUCAAAAAGAUUCUUCUUGUUUUCGAUGAUGCUGAUCACAUGGAUCAGUUAGACGCUUCAGCUGGGAAGCGUGGAUGGGUUGGUCCACGAAGUAGAGUCAUUAUAACGACUAAAGACAAACACUUGCUUGUUAAACACGGUGUGGAAAAGAAGUACCGAAUGAGGACAUUAAGUGAAAAUGAAAGUAUGCAUUCAAGAUUUGACAUCUUAACAAGCAAUUUUGAGGAGCUCUAAGCUCAACUGAUAAAGUAUGCACGCUGCUGGACUCCCCUUAGAUCUGAAAGUUUCAGGCAGUUUCUUUUAUGGAAGAGAUUUGGCUGAAUGGAGAAGUCUAACUAGAACGAUUGAAACAAAUUCUGGAACAAGAAUUUUUAAGACAUUGGAACCAAGUUUCAGACUCAGCAAUAUCGAGCAAAAGACAUCGCGGCUUUCUUUUAUGAGAAGAAGAUUGAUUCAGUGUAAUGAUAAUAAUGAUGUCUGCUAACUCAUCACUCUGCAUAUAUAAAUACAAAGUUGCUGGUUUAAUUUGGUCUACAUAUUAUUCAGAGUUCCAUAGCCACUGGCAUGAGUGUGACAGAUUGGCUGGUUUAUUACUAAUUUACUCUUCUAAUUUCUUGUUUUGUUGUCUUGCAGUCGAGUUAAAACAAUUAUGUACAAAGUUAUUGAGAAAUCAGACAGAGGCAAAUCCAUUUCACCCUAUCUUAUGAGAGUGAUCGAAGCGUCGAGUAUAGUCUCUUGAUCAAAUUCUGCAAAAGCUACGCUAAUUUAACAUGGUGUUUAGAGAAAUUAACAAAGAUCAUGGAAUGCAACAAACCAAAUGUCCUUCCAAGUGUUCUAUGAAGUAGAAGAUCCAUCAACAUUGACCAAACAAAAAUCCAGCUUUGGAGAAGCAGUUAGCAGUCAUGUUUGCUAGAAUGUCAUACAUAAGAAUCAAGUUGUCACAUAUUUCAUCUUUUACACAUCUCUUAAGAUCAUAUUAAUUAAGAGGGUUUUGAUUAUUUCAUCCUUAUUUAUAUCUUAAGAAGUACAUUAAAUUACUCUAUUUAUACGUUAUCACCCCAUAAUUGAAGUGUCUUAGUAUUCAAGAACAAUUACUCCCUCUUGUCAUCUUUACUUAUUGGACAAAGUAAAGACGGACGGCGGAAGUAUUCUAAAAGUAAAAGGGAAUAAGAAUAAAUAAGUUUAUCUUCAACUUCAAAAUAUAUAUAUAAUUUGAGACAAUUAUUUUUAAAAAAUUACUACAGAUAUUUGGGAAGGAGUAAGAAUUAGUUCCCAAACUAAUUCUCAGUUUUCAUGGUCAAAGAUCCCCAAUAACAUAACUAAAAUCUCGCAAAAAUAGUUUCUUCACAUCUGAGCAACAAGCCUACUACCAAUUCACCUUGCAAACACAAUAUGACAUGUAACAAUAUUGACAAUAAUUAGUUAGAUGAAAUGAUAAAUCUCCCUUCCAAAUUAAGGCCAAUUAGUUGAAUAUAUAUAAGUUGUCUUUUGACAUGAAGAUCAGAAAGGAAAGAUCAGGAGUUAUAAUUAGUGUGUAUAUUGAAUCUUCAUCAACCAAAGAUAGAACUAAUCCCUUCAAGAAAAGAUCAAUUCAUCCAAAUCCAUUUUUAACAAGGCCAAGAAAGAGAGGUUGGUAUGAUCGUCGAGCACAACUUCUAGCAUAUGCUCAUGAGUUGAGGCAUGGCAAUUAUCAACAAUUAUCAUGGAAGUCUCACAAUUCAUCUAACCAAAAACACAAGGUAAUUAAUCAAUUCAAGCUAAUCAUAGUGAAAUGUUCUUUCUUUCUUUCUUUAUAUAUGUGUGUGUAACAAGAAAUCUACAACUAUAUAUGAGCGCCGACCGAUAAUGUAUCCGUCCAUCUAUCAUUCUCUACUUAAAUAUUUCGAGCUUUUGUAUAUAGUUGGUUUCAGUGGUGGAUCCAAAAUUUUCAGUAAGGAGAGUCAAAAUAUAAAGAAAAAUUAUAACGAAAUCAAGUGGAUUAAACAUAUAGUAAAAAAUAGUAAUCUUUACACAUGCAAUUUUGAUCCCUUGAACAAGAGUCGCUUCGCCACUAGUCAAAUUUGUUAAUUCACACAUUCAUGAUCAUGUGUUGCACUUUCAGCACUUAAUUAAAGAACUAGGAUUCAGUGAAAUGCUUUAUUUCCUUCGGUGGAUUUCUCAGAUGGUUACUCAAAUUAAUAGAUUAUCACAUAAAGCAACCCUUUUUCUUGAUUUCAAUUUUCUUUAACAAAGAAAAUGACUUUCUGAGACAAUAAAUAUAAGAGUUUAAGUUUCGUGCACCUAACUUGACCUGCUAUUGCAGGUUACCCAAUUAUUUAUAUAAAAAUUUAAAAAGAAAAAAUUAGAUAACCUGCAAUAGCAAGUCAAAUUUACCUAACAGUAUAGAAUAUUUUGUACACUAACAAUGGACAAAACUUAAAUUCUAAAUAUAAAUUGUGAGACCAUAUGAAAAAUCUCCUCCAUAUAUUGUGUACUCUUGUUAAUAGGGAUUAAAUUUUGUACAGAAAUGGAGAUGGGCAAGAAGGGUUAGAUUGUCAUUUUCCCAUUUGUUUCGUAGAAAAGAUACGCAUUGGAGGUAUGAGCACAUUGGUACACAAGACUGCAGAGGAGCAAAAAGGAGAACAACUCAUUUUUGUGUAAGUCUUGCUAUUAGGGUGUGAAUCGGUCGGUUUAGUUCGAUUUUAUGUGUUAUUGGUUUGAUUUAUUGGUUUCAAUUUUUAAAUAUGUAAAACCAAUAACCAACCAAUAAAAUAUUUUCUUAUCGGUUUCGGUUUAUCGGUUUUCGGUUUAACCAAUAAGAAAAUACUUAUAAAAUAAAAAUAGUAACAACUAACAUAAAAAAACGAAAUCUUAGUUACCGUCAAAAUCCAUGUAAUGCAUUUUAGUUUACAAGAAUCUUCAAACUUGAACUGAAUGUUAGUUAAAAAAAAAAUUAAAUCUUAAUUGUUGGAAGCUAUAAAUGCUUCAAGCUUUUCGAUACGAUAAUAGCCGAGCUUUAUAUUGUGCCUUUGUUAUCCUGAAUAGGUUAAUACUUUGCGAAUCACUGAAUUGUGAAUAAGUAGUGCAUAUAAUAUAUAUACAUACACAUAUCUAUCUAUCUAUAGAGAGAGAUUUAUAUAAUAACAUAAAUAGGGAUAAAACAAUAAUAUAGUGUAUCCUUAUUGGGUUAUCGGUUUAACCGAUAACCCAAUAAGCUAAAAUCAAAACUGAAUCGUUUACCCAAUAAUAUUUUUAUCGAUUCGAUUUUUGCACACCCCUACUUGCUAUUAUGUUCUGUAACAAUUACGUACUAUAUUUUAAUAUAAUGUAUUUGCCUUGUUAACUAGGACUAUAAGUUAUAUGCACGCUGAUAGUAUAAUAAUUAUACAAUUCUACUUUUUAGAUUACCAUAUAAAAUUAUUUGUUGUAUGUCUAAUUUAGUUGAUAGUGUAACAAGAAAAACUAAUACUGUUAGUUCAAAGAAUUUAAACUCUUAACUAAUUUAUCAUAUUUGUGUUGUGUUAUGCAGAAUAGAUUGAAGUGCUUCUUCAAGAACAUCUUAGGUGCUUGGCAAUUCAGUAAGAAAUCUUGAAUUUAGAGGCGAUAAAAUUAGUCCAUGAAAAUAUGAUCUGUUCAAGCCAUCCAAAUUUUGACGAGUUAAUAACUCACUAAUUUUGACUCGCCCAAAUUUAAUCCAUUCUGUCGAUUCGGCAUCACUAAUUAUGAUGAUCAAGUCUUUAAACGGAUAAGCGUUGAAGCUUCCUAUAAUUCUCCGUUUAAUUGAAUUUUUGAAGUUUCCUGUUGAAGAACAUUUUGAUUUUCCAUUGUUCAAGAAUUUCAAAUUCAUUUUUAAUUACAGUGGUGAAAACAGAAGAUAUCUAAGGAUGUGUUUGAUAUAGAGAAAAUAUUUUUCAAUUUUUUCAUGUUUGAUUGAUCAAACAUAUUUUGAAACUUUUUUUUUGAAAAAAAUAAGUACUUUAGAAAUGACUUUCCUUUAUGUAGGAAAACAAGUUUCAUAAGUGACAUUUCAAGUUCAUUGUCUCCUCCUUACCACCCAACACCCCCAACCUCCACACCUUGACCAUCUCAUUUUCCCGCCACCCUCUAACCACAAUCCACCCUCAUAUCAUAGUGUGUUUUGCCAGGUUACAUAUAAAUACUCUUGAGAUAAUAUAUUUUUUGCUUACUCACCAAACACUUAAAAAAUAAAUAAAAAAUCCAUUUAUUUUCUAAGUAAACAUUUUCUAGAAAUCAAACGCUGAAAAAGAUUUUUGUUCGUACCAUACAGACCCUAAAUUGCUUGUGAAUUAUGAUCCACAAAAUAUGGCUGGUUUUGUUAUUAGAUUCGACAAAUGCUCCUAAGUGAAUAGUAGAUAUACAUUUGCUUAUUGUUACAUCACUAAUCAAUUGAAAAUGAGUUAAUUACUCCAAACACCUCUAUAUUAUGAAAAUCCAAAACUUAAGAAAUGCACGAUCAAAUAUCAGUUUUUUCUAGUAGUACCACAAUAAACCUUUUCAAUAUACAUUUGGGGAUGGAGGUGCGUGCUAUUUUUAUUUUUAUUUUUUAAAACAUAAAUAAUUAUAAAUAGAAUGUAACGAAUCGAACGGUCGAAAGGGUUUUUUCCUUGCUCUUCUGUUUUUGCAUAUGAAAAAUUUCACAAAAUCACAAGUUACUUAAAAUACUAAAAAUCUUUUCACUUGGUAAAAAUUAUAAAUAUUUUCAAUUUACUAAUUACAUCCUAAAAAUUUGCAAGAAUAUCUUCUCCCCUCCUGAAAUAAGAAAAACAUGUAAAAUAAAAUACCAACAAAUUCCACAAAUCAAUCACAUACUAUCUCACCUAUGCAAAUUCACAAAGCACAAUAAAACGACUCAGUGCUCACUUACCAAUACUUUUCAGAUCUUAAUUUCUGCGGUGGCAUUGCUCAUCCGAGCAGCUCUACCAACUCUUCCUCCUGUAAUGGCCAUUCAUUGAUCUACACCUGCUCACCCGGACAAGUGAAUUUGUGCACAUGAAAAAGGAUGUUAGGAUUGCAUCAAAUACAUUUUUCAUCUCAGAUAUAUGCAUAUGUUACAUAAGUAUUUUUAUGUAUCUCUCUAUAGUGAUGUUUAUGUUAAGUGCAUCAGAUACAUUUUCAUCUAAGAUCUCUGCAUAUGUUACAUAAGUAUUUUUAUGUAUCUCUCUAUAGUGAUGUUUAUGUUAAGUGCAUCAGAUACAUUUUCAUCUAAGAUCUCUGCAUAUGUUACAUAAGUAUUUUUAUGUAUCUCUCUAUAAUUAUUUACUUUUAAAAGGAUUAGUGUAAUGAAUUUAUUUUAUUUUUUACCAAAGAUACAUAGAGAUACAUAAGUAACAACUAUAAAUACAUAAUAUAUCCUAGAUAUGAUAAAGAGAUACAUUUUAUAAUUGAAGAAGAUACAUUUUUAAUAUAAAGAGAUACAUAACAUAUAUUUGUUCUAUGUGACUCAUAUAUACAUAGAAUAUGUAUCUCCAUUUUUUAUUCAUAUGUUUACAAAUAUAUAUUGUAAUGUAUCUCAUGUAUUUUUUUAUCUAUCGAUAAAUGAUUUAGUUGACAUACAUUUAAUUAAUGAGUAACUUCAUUUUUAGGGUAUGAAAUAUGUCAUUGAUGAGAUUCCACAACAUCCUCCAAGAUUUGACAGCUCGUGCAAUGCCAAGUUUCUAGAAAAGUUUGAAGAAAUUCUGUCAAAAGAAGUAAUUGAGAUGUUCAGUGAGAUAUGCUUUGACGAAUCGUUGAAAAAAAAAUUGCAGCAACCAAAAAUAGAGAAAACAGGAGAAAAAUGACUCUGCAAAUAUAAUGGAGAGGGGGAUAUUUUGAAAAUAUAUAUAAUAACUAAUUAAGUUUUUUUUUGGAAAUUUUUGCCUGUUAAUUUUAAAAUAUGAAGAGUGAUUUACUGCUUAAUUACGUAAAUUUUUGUUAUUUUUUUUUAAUUAGCAUGCAUUAAUUGUUUCACUGUAUCACCAGCAAUGUAUAUCUUGUUAAUGGAUGUAUCGAAAAAAUAAUAAAACGAGAUUUUUUUAUAAUUUUUAUAAAAAUUGGAAUAAGGUAUAAUUAAGGUAAACUAGUAGGAAUUUAUGUAAAACACCCUUAAAAAAUAUGCAGGAANNNNNNNNNNNNNNNNNNNNNNNNNNNNGUCUUUUUUCCUAAUUAUAAAGAAUCAAUUCAAUUCGUAAUGACUAAUGAGGCGCUUUUAUUUUGAUUAGUUUAGUUGCACGUGCCUCGCACGUGUAACAUUUUAUUAUUUAAAAUUAAAUAAUUUUAUCUACUGUGAAAUGAAGUGUAAAAGUUUAAGUCACUUUUUAAAGAUUCUUCACACGAACAUAUUUUUUAGUAUAAGCACAUAUAUUUUACAUCACCACGGCUAAGAGAGACGCAUCAAUUUGAAUCAUAUUUGUGGUAUGGUUAUUUUUCUUUUUUAUUUCUAUAUUUAAAAUCUUCCCUUUUUUUAACAAAACUUUUAAAAAUUUGAUACUUGUUAAAUUUUUCUUAUUCUAACGUUUUUAUAUUUACUUGUUUAGAGUACGCACCUCACUUUAGUGAAUUCACUUUUAUAAAAUCACUUACAUAUACAAGAAUGACGGUCCUUAAAAUGUUGAUUGAAUUUUUUUCCUUCUUUAAGAUAAUCUACAAUAAACAAAUUUCUAAAAUUCAGGAUAUAGAUAUAACUAAGGCAGGUUUUAAAAAGUAUUAAAAGAGUAAAAGUUAUUAAAAGGUAUAAAUUAAUAUAAAUAAAGUUCGAAAAGCUCACAUAUUAGGAGCAAUGCAAAAGAAUGCAAAAAUAAGUGAUGUCUUUCUUAUUUUUUCGUUGAGUUCUAAGUUUCGAGUGAUUAAAAGCAACCUCUCAUUACUAUUCGUCAUUCACCAACUUAAAGCCCAACAAAUAAUAUCAUCUUCGAUCUCCAUUAUAAAGUUUAUUCAACCACAAUUUUAAUUGUAGCUCCCAUCAAGUUUGAAAAAACUGCAUAAAAAGGUAAGUAGAAUAAAUUUUCAAUAACAAAUCUAAUAUCAAAUUAUUCAUUUUAAUCUUCUCUCAAACCAUCAUAAUCAGACAAAAAUUAAUAUCAAAAUUAAGAAGAAGAAAAAAAAAGCAAACAACAAUUUUGAACACACAAAAAAAAAAUUAUUUACUUUAAUGUGCUCCCAAGCCAUCACAAUUAAACAAAUUAAAAAAAAAAAGAAAAAAAAGAAACAUCAAACAAUAAAUUUGAACAUUUAAAAAAUAGCAACCGAUCUAUUUAUGCUUCAAAAAUCAAGGCUGAUAUUCCUGUUCAAAAUAAAUUAUGUUAGAAUAAAAAAGGAGUAUUAUUUCGUCUCCAAAAUAAAUAGGACUCUUCUAUUUGUAUUCCUGUUAUAAAAAUAACCAAAUUAACAAAAGAAAAGAAAAGAAUGAAAGCAGCUAAAACAAGUCUUCUACUUAAUCCUAUAAAUUUAGAAAAUAGUGUAGAAUCGUGUGCUAAAAGGAAAAUUGUUAUUAGCGACAAGCAGAUAUGUUCCAUGAAAACAUGCCACGAGAUUUCAAUAUUUCAAAUAUUUUAUUAUUUUUAAAGUUAAAUAUUAACAAAAUUAUUGAAUACAUUCUUAUUACGUACUUAAAAAUUUUAAAAAUUUGACUGCUUAAAUUUUUCUUAUUUUAACACUUUUAUAUUUAUUUCUAGAUUUUUUAAAUCAUUUUAAAUAAAAUUUAAUUUAUUUAGAAUUCUUAACCCAAUGAAAAAAAUAUUAAUUGUCAUAAUUCUGAUGACUUCUAAUAAGGAAAAGUUUACCAUAAAUAUAUUUAAUUUAUUUUCAACUCUUAAAUAUUAGAAAAAAAAAUAGUGAAAAGACGAUUUUUUCUAAAGCAAAAACUUUUAAUGAAGGGCAAAAGGCUCAAACAACAUUUCUAAAGCCCUUCAUACUUUUAAUAUAUUAUAGAUAUAGAUAUACAUUAUAUAUAUUUUGUAUAACUUUGUUUGGUUUUGAUAUUAACUUCCAACUAUUUUCAAAGUCCAUCAAGUUAAUAAACAUUAUUUUUAGUUCAUUCAUUUCUCCUUUUCAUGUUCAAUUUGUCAUGUAUAACUGAAUUUCAUGUUGUUGCUUUUGUCUUUUUUUCCCUUCCGUGGGAGUUUUCAUCUUUUGUUUUCUUGAUGGCUUGAACUCGUAACUUUUGAGUUGAAAAUAAAAGAUAUUUACCAUUCGAGCAACUCCCUUAAUUUUAUGUGUUUUGUUACACAAAACCACAUCCUUUUUUGUAGUAGUAGUAAUGAUCAUAAAAAGAAAAACAAAUUCAUUAGCAUGAGACUAUAAGAUUUUGAUUUGCUUAUAAAUCAUACUUUUACUCAUCCCUAGAGCAAAACUAUUAAGUCAGCAAAGUUUCUGCGUUUGACAACAAAAACCCAUCAUACUGUCCGGUAGUUUUAGUUGGGGCGAAUUUUAUAGGAUUUGAGUCAGGUAAUUUUAGUUGAGUCCAAAUUAAAUUUAACAUUUUAAUUAAUUUAGUUUUGAUCAAUAUAAAGUGAUCAUGCAUAUUUAAUAAAAAUUUUAAUUAUAAUUUUUGAGAAACUAUUAAUUGCAAGAAUACUUUUGAACCACAAAAAUAGAUAAACGAAUAUUUUUAACUUCUGGCCUUUUCCGUUAUAAUAAAGUAUAAAUAGCAUAAAUACCAACAACCAACCCUUUUGGUAGUAAUUAAACUCUCUCCCCACUUUUUUAAUUACUUUACUCUCUCUCCCUAUUAAUAUACAUAACAUUCUGUGUAUAUGUUGAAAUUUUUAUAAUAUGUUUAGGGUGUUGAGAUUUUUUAUAAUAUUGAAAACAUAAAUUGUGUGUUUGUGUAAUUUUUAGAUUAACAAUUAAAUUUUUUUGAGGCCUUCAAAUUUUAGGGGCCUAAAGCAAAUAUUUGUCUCGCCCUUGAGUCACCCAGUCUCCACUUUCGCUAUCAUUGCUGGAGUUGAGGCAUUAUUGGAGGAAAAACGGACAAUCCUAUCAAACGUAAGACAUCAACCCGGUAAAGACAUAAAGGACCGGUACUCUAAAAUAUGCUUAUUACACGAAUCAUCGAAAGCACAAAACAAACACAAUAAGAGCAAACUACUAUUAGUUCAUAAUUAACUAAAUUAACCCCAUGCACAAAUGUUGCAACUUUCCUUCCUGAAGGAUGGAUGGAUAUAUCAGCUAUCCAACGAGAAAAAUUUUCUUUAAAAGUUACUACCUGGUUUUAUGAAACUAUCGCCUAAUUCAUGAAAUUGAAGGUACCUGGGAGUAGGAAGGAGGGUUGAAUUUACUUUUACUAUUCAAUCCGGUUCCUAUUUACAGGCAACGAAAGGAACUCCAAAUUGCUGUAAGCAGUGUCAUCAAUCCUCUAAAAAAACUCCAGGAACCGUGGUUAGGAUCAGCAACAUGGAUGUCUCGCAUACUUUUCUGUGUUGCGACAGAGAAAACCAUACUGAAACAAACACAUGAUGUCAUCCCAACCACUCUUGAACACCUUCUCCUGAUAAAUCACCGAAUUCUGCUACUUGCUCUAUGUCGUUGCCGCCUCCUUGAUCUUCCCAAUAAGAGUCUACUCUGAAGUCUAGAGAUUCUGUUGAAAACAUUGGAUGCAGUCUCAGUGCCAGAAUGAUGGACGAAAAACCCAUCCUCAUCAAAUGAAUGAUAGUCAUCACCGAAAAGAUCAUCUGGGUGGAAAUUAUCAUUCCACUGUGCACCAUGAGGUUCUGAUCUGAGAAGAGGCUCAUCGAGAUCAAAAUUCCUGUGGAGGCCUCCGAAAUUACCCUCUAUAACAUAAUCUCCCAUUACAAUUGCACCAGGCAUGGUAGAUCUGAUUGUGCUAAACACAUCGUUCCUCUCUCUCUCGUGCUCAAGCUUCUUCCAUUUCUCUGCAAGUGAAGGGUUUACUUCCAGGGGGCGUGCUGAAGGAUGCUCCCGCCUUACAUGCUUCCUCAACUUUUUGUACGUUCCAACAAAUGAGCAAUUUUCAUGCAUGCAUGUUCUCUUCUUUGCAUUCAGAUGCUUGCGCGCAGGUUCCACAACUGUCCAACCCUUUACCUGCCCACGACAGAGUGGGCACAGAAGUUCAGCUCCACCUAAGCAACCUGCUGCUCCUGACGAGCAAUUAGGAUCAUCAUUUGACAGCAACCCUAGUUCAGAGCCCUCAAUUGAUGUGACUUUAGUAUACGCUUUCUUGUACUGCUCAAGACAAUUUGAGAAACGACAGCUAGUGGCACACAUAUAAGGACGACAUCCCUUGUCAUAAGAAGAGCACAGCAGCAGCACUGCAUUGUGAGGGUGCUCCAUGCAGACUGAGCAAGUUGCCCCUUCCCAUUCUUUCUUCUCAGAUGAUUUUGCUUCUCUCUCCCUUUGGUGAAUCUUUUUGCACAUUUUUGAGCGGCAAGAUAGCAAAUCAUGGUGAUGCAAAUCAGUAACCCGUCCCAUCUUGCUUGGUUUUGUCAUUUCUGAUAAAGAAGAUACAGAACCCACCUGCAGAAUAAAGGGAACAAAGAACCAACGGGAAAGGGUGGAGGGAAGUGGUUAGUAAACUAGAUUUUUGCUAAAGACCAAAGCUUAAACUAUUAAAAAAUAACUGGAAAGAAGGCAAAAUAUAUCAUGCAAGGUUUCAAAUGUUUCUCAAACUCGGCACUUAGACCUUGCGUGAAUUCAAAUAUGUUGUUCUUAAAACAGAUAAAUUUGCUGCUUUUGAUGAUUUCGCUAAGAUAUUUCUUACAUCUCGAAAAACAGUUCAGGCACACAGUGCUGAUCCACAUAACAUGAGAACUGAAUUAUUAACAUCCUCUUUGUUUCAUCCAUGCAACUACUUAUAGGAAGCAGAGCAGAUAAAUCUACACCAGUAAUGUGCUCAUUCAAUGAACCAGGUUGAUCACACAAAAAAAUGUGUUCCAAUGAAAAACCAACCUCCACCACAUACUGGUGCUUCAAAACAAAUCACCAGUGGACCAUGAAGUUUAUGCCUUUAUAGUUGAACUAGUUUAUUCGCCAAUUUUGCUUUAAAAUCACUCUUUGUUCAACUUUAGACCAUAGAUAUUCUGAGGUAGUGGUAUGGUCUGCGUACACUCUACCAUCCCAGACCCCACUGUGGGUACGUUGUUGUUGUUGUAGCACGUAAAUUUUAGAAAUACAAGGUCUAUUUUCCCCUCCAAUUAUCAACCUCUUCUCUUAAAUUCUUUUUUGGCAUCAUAAUAUAAUAUGUGUUUCUCUUUCUCACUUAUAUUAUUUGACUCACCUAUGUAACAGAUAAAAGUUUAUUUUAAAAAGUCAAAAAUUAACUUAAAAGUUUAUUUUAAAAAGUCAAAAAUUAACUAAAUAGUUAUAAACUCACUCAUUGAUAACAAUGAAGAAUGAAAGGUUUUUACAAAAUAAAACAUUGAAAAGAAAAUUGCUCCUGAUUAUAUAGUACAGCCUAAAGGUUUUGUUUAGAUGCCAAUUAGAACACAAACUUCUACCUACAAAAUUGAAACUAAAAGAGAUGGGACUCAAAUACUAGUGCACUGUUUAUUUAAUUGCUAAUAUCUAGUGCACUUAAAUUAAAAAGCAAUUGGCAUAUGGAAAUAUUUGAGGCAAAUUCUUAAAGAGCUUCUCUAUUUAUAUCAUCAAUAAAUUAAAAAUAACAUACCACACUCAAUCAUAGGUAAAAAGUUUGAAGUGAUAAGAAUGGGAACAGUAACAUAUAAUAGGAAAACAUAGAACAAGAAAAUAAAUUCAAGUUAACCAACUUCGCAAAAAGAAAAAAUAGAUACGAAAAAAAGAGUGUUGGUUUUGAAGGAAAGGACUUGGAGGUAGCUAAUUUAGAGAGCAAAAUAGGCAUUGUCUUCUAAAAUCACCAGUCAAUGCCGUGAUUCUGAAAUCUGAAAUAGGACCGAGAGACUAGAGGCUAACAUGACAGAUAAUUUUAACUCCCUCCGUCCUAAUUUAUGUGAUGUCUUUGAUUCGGCACAGAGUUUAAAAAGGAAAGAAGAGACUUUCGAAACUUGCGAUCCAAAAUAAGCCAUAGAUAUUUGUGUGACUAUAAAUCAUCUCAUCAAGGGUAAAAUCAGCAUUUUAAAGUUAAUUGUUACUGAAUAUAAAUCCUUCGUCUUGAGCCGGGGGUCUAUCGGAAACAACCUCUCUACUCCCUCGGGGGUAGUGGUAUGGACUGCGUACAUUUUACCCUCCCCAGACCCCACUAUGUGGGAAUAUACUGGGUUUGUUGUUGUUGUUGUUACUGAAUAUAAAAAGGUGUCUUUCUAAGCUUGGGAAGAUGGGAAUUAAACCCUAAGCUCCAAGAUUUGCACUCACUUUUAUUAACCACUAGGCCACACCAUUAGUUGCCUUAUAAAAAAAUGUUUUCAACACAAAAUUGGCAAGAGGAAACUUUCUUUCUAAUUUAGAGAGUAAAAUGAGCAUCACAUUUCUGAAAAUUUACCUGCAAAUGUCAUGAUUCUGAACUAGGAUUGAGAGGAUGUCUAGGAUCUAAGUUGCUCGAACUCGGGUACGGGUGUCCGAUGCGGGUACAGAUCUAGAGGUCGAAUCCUUCAUGGUCUCAAUUUAAAGAUUCGGGGAUAUGGAUCUAGGGAUGAAUACGGGUACAAGGAUUCGGCAAAAAAUAAUUUAAAUAUCUAAAAAUAGAGUUAUAAAACAUAAAUUAUGAGAUAUUAUAUGAAAAACUUGAGGAGAAAAUAUUGUUCAAGAAGAAAAUCUUGGAAGGAAAUAAAAAGUAAAGCAAUAACAUAGAAAUUUCUAUAUGCAAGGUAUUCCAUUUCCUUCAAUUUCACCUUCGCUUUUGUUUUGAUUACAAAAUUUCUUAAAUCUGUCCGGACUUUUCCGGUCGAUUUUGGUCAAAGUAAGGAAAAUCGGUUGACCAGAUUAGGUACGGAUCCCACACCCACACCCAUGUCGACACGGGUGCGGCACCGAAAGUGAAGAGUCCGAGUAACUUAGUCUAGGAUUACAUCACAGGGAGUUUCAUUUCACGAAAUUUAAUAACCAAAAAAGUUUUUUAUAAUGUGUCUAGGCUAGCUAGUGCAAACCGCAACUAAUCCAAAAGUACUUGUUAUGUUACCUUCCACCAACAUAGGUACCGUGAAACUCUAUCGAACAAAGCUCAAACUUUACUUUUUAGUCUAUACCGAAAAUAAUGACACCUUUAUAUGAUUAGAAAUAACAUAACUUUAAAAUUUCCUUUUACUCUAAACAAAAAUGAUUUAAAGCCACAAAAAUGUCUGAGAUUUGUUUUAGACUACAAAUUUCAAAAGUUUGUGUCAAUUCAAACAAUACCCCACAUAAAUUGGGACCUGAGUUAUGUACUCCCUUUAUUCCAACUAACGUGGCACCGUCCGGAUUUCGACAGUCAAAUUUUUAAAUUUCAACUGUGAAUUCAUACAUGAAAUCUUAAAAAAUUGAAAUAAAUUUUUAAAUAUUUGAAAACUAUGUAAAAUGUACUAUAAGUCACAAUAAUUUACAAUCUAAAAUAUUUGUAAGCUAUCAAAAAGUUUUGGUUGAAGAAAAACUCAUUUGACUCUUCCAAAUCCAAAAUGUUCCACAUAAACGGGGAUUGAAGGAAUAUUAAAUAUAGGUCAGUUGUUUAACUUGUAAAAAAAAACUAAGGAUCAAAAUCCCUCUCAAUAUAAGUUAUCAAACAAAAACAACCCUCUCAUAUCCAAACUUUGGCACUUUGCAACUGGGAAAAAUAUGAAAACAACCGUAAUCGUGCAUGCUCAAAAUUCAAAUAUGAGAAAAGGUCAUUCAACUAGUACAAUAAUGAUCUUCCAAUUUGUAUUCAGAGCUCUUUAUCCUCUAACUAGGUUAUUAACAAUUUAUACAAGAUAUCCUCAACCAACUGAACAGAACAAUAGAAAACAAUAUCUUAAUUGUGAUAGUUAAUAGCAUCACUAUUGACCACCCUAUCCACCAAUGCACAACCUAAAUACCGCUCAUUUCUUCAUCACUUCAAACAAGUAGUUACUUCCCAAACUCGCCCUUUUAAACAGGACUACCAUUUCUCCACUUUUCGGGUAGAUAGAGUUAAUAAGGUACUUUCCAACAGAUUAACCAUUGAAAUACAUAGAAAAACAAGCAAGAAGGCCCUUUUGAAAAACUUCCAACACGAAAAGAGACCCAUUUUCUGAUUCCAACUAUUAAGUGAAACUCUUAGGUAAUAUUAUCCACAACAAGUCAUUUUGCUAAGUUCACAUUACCUUGAACGUACAAAUGACGUGUCAUUUUUAAAUGAAUGCAUCACUAUCAAAACCUAAUCAAUACUCCCUCCAUUCAUUUUACUUUGUCAAGUUUUGCUCAAGCCAAAUUGACUAAUUUUCGGAGCUAAAUUGAAUCAGAUCAAUUCAAAUUUUUAAAUUUUAAAUUUUGAUAUCUAAAAACUUAGACAAAAAGAAAAGAUUAAGUUAGCAAUACUUCACAUAUUAAUACAAUAAAAAAAAAUACAUCCUAAAUGUUGGUCAAAGUCCCACCCUCAAGAAGCUAAACGUGACAAUUUCAAAAUACUUGUCACAAUUUCUUUUUUGAGAGUUCAUUACUACAAACUUUGACCAACAUGUAGGAUCGUAUUUUUUUCAUCACAUUGAUACGAAAAAGAUUGCAAUUCAUACUACUUGUCAUAUAAUUUUAAAUAUCUGGGGACGACCCGGUUCAUACCUACUCCGUAGGUGUCGGGGAGGGGGGGACCACUCCGGGCCUGACCUACGCGCCCUCACCCCAGCUUCGCUGGAGGGGCGUUUCGAACCCCCGACCCUGGCACACCACGGUAAGCAAGCUUACCGCUGAGCCAAGGCCAUCCCUCUAAUUUUAAAUAUCUAAAUUUUUAAUUUUAAAAUAUCAAAUUAAUUUAAUUUAAUCCCAUCAAAGACAACCGUAUGAUUUCUUCUCACCUGUUCUAGACUUAGGGCUCAUUUGUUUGCUCUUAAUGGAGGUCUGAAUCUGAAUGGUUCAGACUUCAGACCAUUAAGUGCAUUUGUUUUUUAUUAAGAUUUCAGCUCUUAAUAAGUCUGAAUAGGUCUUAAUCAUUCACAUCUAGAAUCAAGUCUUAAUAGGUCUGAAGAGGAAUUUUAGUGUUGGAUAAUAUUCACCGUCACUCUAUUCAUAAUCAUCAAUCACCACCACUAACCACCUCUGCCACCAUUGUCAACCAUCACCCACCACCUCCACCAUCACAUAUCACUACCAACCACUACUGUCAACCACUACCACACCUACUACCUCUAUUACUCUAAUUAUAUUCACCGCCACCACCACCGUCAACAGCACCACCAUCAUCAACCACUACCGGCCAACUCAUCUAUCACAAUUAGCAUCACCGCUAACUACCACUAAUACAUCACAACCUCCGCACAUUCUUUGGCCGCCGCCACCAUUGUCACUAGUAACGCCACCUCUACUAUCACUUCAACCACUACCAUCGCGACAAUUUAUCUCUGUAACAACCAUCUCCACCAUCACAACUAACAACAUCUCCAACUAGCACCAACACAUUGUCAAACCAUCAUGCAUUCCUUUUUCAGCCAUCACAAUCAACACCUCCAACUACUAACAUCAAACAACGUCACAUCACAACCAACACUAUCAACCGCCACCAUCAUAACAGUCACUACAAUACCAACCAUCACAACUACCACCACCUAAGUUGCUCGGAUUAUCCAAAAAUGUUGCCGCACUCGUGGCACCCGUGUCGGAUCCUUCAAAAAUACACUAUUUUUGGAGGAUCCGACACGCACCCGUAGACAUUUUUAAAGAGUCCGAGCAACUUAGAUCACCACCAUAAUUACUAAUCACUAACAUCAAUCAUUGUCACUGCAACCACCAUUAUAAACCAUCUCCACUAUCACUAACAAACAUAAAUAUUUUUUUCAAAGAGAUAAUAAUUUUGUUGUAUUAAAUUACAUACUUUUCUGAUAUAUAAUUAGUUUUUCAUUUGAAUUGUAUUUUUUAUUUUAUUAUAUACACAAAUAAAUUUUUUUUUUGUACAUUCAGAUGUUGAAAACAUAAACAGUCUUAAUCAAUCAGUUUUCAGAUCCAGAGACAACAUCUGAAUGCAUUCAGAUUCAGACAUCUGAAUCUUAAAAAAAAACAAAUGCGGCCUUAGUGGACAAACUUAGGUGGCAGGUAUCACGUGGAAUUAGUCAGGUGCACAAAAUGUCCUUGGCACCACAGUUAUCAAAAACAAAAAAUAAUAAUAAUCAACCCUAAUUUAGCUUUAAAAUUAACCAAAUUGACUCUUCUCAAAACAUGACAACUCAUUUAAACCGGAGGGAGCAGAAAUCAGUUUGCUCGAAAUUCACAACACAUGCAUAAUCAAACUCAAAUAUUAACAUAAAAACUAUUACAAUCAACGUGUCUGGUGGAAUUAGCCAAGGUGCACCGAAGCUGGCCUAGACACCAUUAUAUAUAUACAAAUAAACAACGAUAACUAGUACGAAUCAAAUCAGAGCAGUAAUGAAGCAAUCGAAAUAGGUGACAAAAAGCGGAUCAGAAAAAAAGGAGAGACGUUGAACAAAAUGUACCUGAAUAAGACGAUAACGAAUCGACGAGAAAAGGUAGAGAGGUCUUAUCUGCAAUUGUGUGUAUAUAGAAAAAAUUGAAUGGAGGAGAGAGAAAUUUGUGUGUGUUUAAGUGUGCGCCCUACUCUCUCCUUCUGGCUCCUCUAAUACUUUUUCCGGAAGAUUUGAGGGUUUGCUUGCGUCCAACAAUUGGAUUCUCUCUCUCUCUCUCUCUCUCCAGUAUUUGCUCCCUGCUACUAUAUCGCUGUGCAAUUUACACAAUUUCAUUUUUGACGGGUCGGGUCGGGUUGUUUUAGGGGUUAAUUUACACUAAAUUUCAUUUUUGUUGGGUCGGGUUGUUUCCUAUUUUAAGGGUUAAUUUACAGUAAAUUUUAUUUUUCACCGGUCGGGUUGUUUUGUAUUAUAGGGUGAAUUUUCAGUAAAUUUCAUUUUUCACGGGUCGGGUCGUAUUUUAGGAGUGAGUUUAAAUUUCAUUUUUCACGGGUCGGGUCGGGUUGCUUAGGUACUGCUUAACAAUUUUGAUCAUUUAAGUUUGACAAAAUUAACACGUUUUAAUCUUCAUUAAGAAAAAGAAAACUAGACUAGACGCCAAAAUGAUAUAAGAAAACAAUUAAAAUUGUAUCGCAAAAAGCUAAAUAGGAGAAAUUAAAAGAAUUGUAUCUAUAAAUUUAAGUUCUUGCUAAUAUCAUUUUUGUAUAAUUUUUGUCAAAUCUAACACAACAUUUUGUAAAUAUUUAGCUUAUAUUAAAAACAUUAACAGAUACCUUAUAUUUAUUGUUGAUGAGGGGUAAUCGGUGCUCAUAAACUAUUUUAAACCUAUUCUUAAAUACAGCAGAUUAUUUAUAUAGCUUUCUCUAUUUUAGGGAUUACUCUUGGAUGCAAAGCAACAUCAACAUGGUGGAGUCAUAUUUAACACAUUGUGACAUCAUUAUUUCAUUAUGGUGUCUUUUUCACCAAGGAAUAUGAACCUUGUCGCUUUGUAUUAUCGAUGGAUUGAAAUUUAUGGUAAGUUAAUUAAUGCCUAUUUUUCCAAAAAAAUAAUUUCAUUCAAUUUGAUAAUGUCAAAAUUGUUCUCAUAGAUAUCCCGUAGCCGUGAUUAAAAUGUCAUGUUUGAACCAGAUAGCACUCACAAUUCAAACCCAAUAUUAAUAUUAACUAGUUCAGAUUUUAAUAGUUUCCUGAUGCUUCUCAAGUAAUAUUGGUUUUAAAAUAGUGCAUACUUGAUGUUUAAAAAAAAAAAAAAAAAAAAUCACUCUCUCUUAAAUAAUAGCAGUACAAAAAUUAUUUGGUACAAUGAAAAAGAUUUUAAAAGUUUACAUGUCUUUCAAAAAGUUUCCCAGGAAUUCGGCUGCAGGUUAUGCUCAACUCGCCUCCGCCCGCCCCAUUCCCUUCCCCAUAUGCAUCUUAAAUUUUAUAAUUAUAUUAAGGGAAAAGACAUUAUUUUCACCUCAAAUUAUAUCUGAAAAAUCAAAAUCAUACCUAAAUUAUACUAGUGACCUAUUAUACUAUUAGUUUAGUAUAUGUGUGUUGCACGUGUAUCUCAAUUUAUUUAAUAAAACUAUAUAGAGAAAGAAUAAAAUUUAGAAAGUAGCAAUUGACGUUAAAAUAAAUAUUAUAUAUAUAUAUAUAUAUAUAUAUAUAUUUAAAUUUAAAUAAUAUAAACAAAUAUUGCAUCUCAAAUAUGGUAUUAUUUUAAUGUAAAACUUUAAAUAAAAAUCACAAUCUUAAAACUUUAAACCAAAUAUUAAAAAUAAAGAUAAUAUGUUGCUUAGUUCUACACCGUUUUUGUUCAAAUUAAUAUUUUCCUUGUUUAAAUUGUGAGUAUAUUUGUUGUCUUUAGUUUAAAAAAAAAAAAAAACAAAUAGUAACAAAAUGAAAAUUAUAAUCAAAAUAAUACAAUAAUCACGACACGCGCGCACGCACAUAUUUAUAUAACAAGUAGUUCGUAAAAACAUUAAAUCUAUAAAUUUUUCAUAAUAUCUAAAUAUGUAGCAUUCAAGUUUUACAAAAUGUAUUUAUAUAUGUCGAGUAUGCAAGAACAUCAGACACAUGCCACUCUCAAACAUUUUCUUACAUAAGAAUAUUUCUCCAAGUGAUCCAAUUUUACAUAUCUUUCUGAGUAAAUAUUGAGUACUCAAUAUGAUUGAAGAACCAUCCAUUCAGCUUCAUUUUUUUAGAAUAUUUUUUACAAUAAUACAAUAUGUCAUAUCUCUAGUUUAUAAGUUGGAAUAAUUCUUUUUUCAGUUCACCUUUCACAACCUAUAAUAUUUCUAUCCAUCCUUAUCACCGUCCAAUAAAAUUAAUUAAAACGUAAAAAGAUAGACAUUACCAUAUAAUACAGAGAGUUUUUCAAGAACAUAGUUAAUCUAUCAACACUAUGUUUCUAGAUUGAGGGGAGGUGGGAUUUAGAAGUAAGCCAAAGUUGAAAGCUGUUAUUUGAUGUGCAUGAAGUGAAUUACCAAAUUUAAUACAAACACAUAGUAUAAUUCAGGAACGAGGACAGAUUAUGCACUUUACCAUAACAUCUUGAGAAAAAUAACUUAUCAGUACGUCUCUUUUUUGUACAUAUCAGGACAAGAAAUUCAAAGAAAUAGUUGAAGACAAAUCAACUGUGAAGAAUAACAUAAGGGAAAAGAUUAAAAUAGCUUCCAAUCUUAGGCAAAAUCAUUAGAAACAGAAUAGAAAUCUGCAGUGUGAUCAUGUUUUCUUAAACAAAAUCUAUAUAUAUUUGCGCUACAAUCAAUCCGAUCAAGGUUCUAUAGUGAAAAGUGGACUAUAUAUUUUUGACUAACCAAUGAUUUUUAACUUUUUUAUCAUCAUUUAAUAGUGAAGUUUGUGCUUCCGAAUUGGCAAGACCAACCUAUAUUUGCAAGAAAUUUAUAAUUCAUUCACACGGUUAAACAAAAUAAAAGCAAAAUACAACAGACUGAACAAUGAAGCAACAACUAGGAUUGUUCCAAGCUUGGAUGUGGAGUCAACUUUUCUUGAAUAAGGAAAUAUAAGAUGUCGACAGUAUAUAGACACAUCUAACGGAUCCUAUGCAAAAAAAUUUCAGUGAUCUCAUUAUGAAUAAUAUUGUAUGUUAAAUAAUAAAAACUUUUAUUUAUUGUAGGUGGUUAAACUAAUAGGUGAACAUGAUGAAAACUUUUUUAUCUCAAUAGAGCUGCAUAGUUCUAACCAUGUCAGAUACUUAAAUAGUAAUAUAUAGUUAAAGUCUUACCUCAAGUUUUAGCCUUCUUUUCGCUGCAGUAUCAUGGAAUUAAGCAACUUUCAUCAUGUCUUCAUCAAUAAAUAACUGAAAGUUGAGAGAUAAUGCAAGGAGAAUGCAAAACUAACUUUACUGCUAGCCAAAAUUUGCACCGAUGAAUUUGCCUAAAGAAUAUUUUAUCCAUAAACAUUCACCUUCAGGGGAGGUUAAAGUAGCAAGGUUGAUGUAAUAUAGUGGAGUAGAUGGAAGCUAUAUACACUAUCAUGUUUUCUCUAACCUUAAAUUAUAUCAAUUGAAAGAAAAGAGCCAAAGUAAGAUAAUUUGAGUUCAUGCGAGUAUAUUAUAACUUAUUUUUGAGAUAACUAAGAAUAUAUUUUAAUUACAUUAUCAUAAAUGUCUUCUCCCCUUUAUUCUUGAUACCUUAUCUCUUCAAAAUAGUUUGAGAUGUUUAUUUAACAUGUCAAGAGUGUUCUGAAAGCCUCAAUCAUUUCUUUAAAAGCUUAGCAGCAAAAACUAAGCAACCAAUCACAACUUGAGCAUCGUCGAUGCCAACAAAACAUAUAUUAAUGGCUCGUCACUUUCUUAAUAUGCCACAAAUUAAUCAAGUAAAGACAGUGUUGUAUCAAAAUACAAAGCACUAAAAUGAAUCAUAUAUAUUUUUUUCAAAACCUAAUUAGUAUUGUCGUUGGGAGAGUACUUAUUCUUUUAUCAUUCUGGGAUCUAUUUCAAUUCUUCCUAGCUAUCCAUAUGAAAGUUAGUUUGAGCCAGCUAUCGAAAUAUUGACAAAAUAAGGCGUUCAUAAUUACUCAGGUGAAUUUCUUGUAAUAGUUGUUAAGUGUAUCUGAAAAAUGCUAAUUGUGAAACUCCAUUUAGAUUUGUUACUAACUUAUCCGAGCAAUUAGUCUCAAAAAAGCGUUCACCUAAGUAGAGUUUAGUGGCUACUAAGUCUUUAACAUCUAACUAAUCUAGCACAAGACUACUGCAAUAUAAGCUUAAUAGCAUACUAUUAUAUACAUUUUCACAAUACUUACAACAUGCACAAGUGUGAUGUCCAGUUAAACUUCAUGCAAGUAUUGUUCCACUAGUACUAAUAAUAUACCAGCAAAGCUUACAGUUGUAGGAGUAUAGUUGUAGGAGUUUUUAGUUAUACAUGAUCAAAUUUUAAUUUUCAACGAUAGUAGGGUAGAACCUGACAAAAACAUACAAAUAUCAGUCAUAUAAAGUUUCAAAACGAAUUGUUACAUCUCAGCUAAAAUAGAUUCAACUAAUUAAUAUUGUAUUCAUCAAAUCAACAGUAUAAAAAUGUGUAGAUUUUAUGACAAAGAAAACAUGAAAAUUGAAUCAAAGUUUAGGACAAAAUUGAUGAAGAAGAUGUCGAGACAAAGCUGAGGCAAAAAAACUGUUGCAAAAGUGAUCACCGACCAUGAAGAGGAAUAUAAAGUUAUAAGGGCUUGUUAUAGAACUUGAGGAUUAAUAAAUCAAAAAGAACACUAAUUAAUAUUUUAGCAAGGUGUUCCAUAUUUUCAUAUAGUUUAGAUGUGUUCUUUUCCCAUAAAUUUUUUCUUAAAGCCUAACUUUUUUAAAAAAUAAAAAUACGACACUUUUUUUAACCCAACAAGAUAUAGGUUGCAGGAAGUAUUUGAUAAGUUUAACGCAAUAAUAUUUAAAAAAAACUAUAUACAUCUUUAAUUUAAGGCCACCAGAUUCAAAAUUUCUUUAUAUUUUAAACUUCAAACUUAAUCAAAUUAAUAUACACUAAAAUUGAGACAGAGCAGGCAACAAAAUAUCAAUCUUGCAUUCAUCAACCCUAAGCGUUGUUGCAACUCUUUGCCUCUCAUAAUUUUUGACCCUAUGCUUGAAUCCUCGGUCAUCACCUUGUAUAAAAAUUUUGCAUCCACAAUAACAACUUCAUAUGCCUCCCUUUUUAUUUGUGAAUAUUCAUAGCUACUUAAGUGUUGCAAAUAACGUCUCAAACAUUUUUUCUAACUUCGUGCAGCCUAGAGGGAUACAAUCUAUCUUGAAGUGAAAGAAUUUACUCUCAAAUUUAUCAAUAAAAAAAUUAUAGAUUAAAAAGAGAUCACUCACCGAUUUAAGGUAAUCGAUGCAUUCUUGUUGAAGUUUUGAUCUAACGCAUCUCUCAAAGAUUUAUUUCUCUACCAUAAAAAUUUAUGAUUGACAAAAAUAAUGCAAGUUCACGUGCUUUUCCGUCUUUGGACAGACCUUUACCAAUACAACAACAUAUGAUGAAGAAGAAUCCAAAAUUAUAACAAUUUACAUUCAUAAACCAAUAAGGACACUAAUUAGUAAUUUAUCAGAAUUUCCAUAUAUUUAUAUAUUUUAGUGGUUCUUUCCCCCAAAAAAAUUCCAAAAAUAACUUUCUCACUUUAGACAAAACCCACGUUGAAAAAACCUUUCAAUCAUUUAUCUUUUUAAUUUAUAAUUUUGGUACAUUAAUUAGUAAUUUAUCAAAAUUUUUAUAUAUUGGAGUAUAUUUUAGUGGUUCUUUUCCCCAAAAAAAUUCAAAAAUAACUUUUCCACUUUAGACAAAUCCCACGAAAAAAAAAACUUUCAAUCAUUUAUCUUUUUAAUUUAUAAUUUUGACAUAAUAAUUGGUGGGAAAGGGCGAAAAGACGAUUUUAUCUAAACAAAAAACUUUUAAUGAAGGUUAAAAAGUUUGAUUCACUUUUCUAAGGGUCUUAACACUUUUAAUAUAUUGUAGAUAUUAUUAUUAUUAUAUAUAUAAAUAUACAAUAUAUUAAAAGCAUGAAGACCCUUAGAAAAGUGAAUUGAACUUUUCAUUAAAAGUCCUUGUUUUACACAAAAUCGUCUUUUUCACUAUUUCUUCCUAAUAUUUAAGAGUUGAAAAUUAAUUAAAUAUAUUUAUAGUAAAAACUUUUCCUUAUUAGAAUACAUUAGAAUUUCUAUAUCUUUUUCUAAUUUAAGAGUAAAAUUAAUUAAAUAUAUUUAUGGUAAAAUCUUUGCUUAUUAGAAAUCAUCAAAAUUAAUGACAACUGGUAUUUUUUCUAUUAGUUUAAGAAUUCUAAAUCAACUAAAUUUGAUUUCAAGAAGAUUUGAAAAAUCUAAAAAUAAAUAUAAAACUAUAUUACAAUAAGGAAAAAAUUAAGAAGUUUCAGAUUUUUAAGUGUUUUAUUAAGUACGUAAUAGAAUGUAAUCAAUAAAUUUAUAAAGAUUUGACUUUAAAAAUAAGGAAAGAUUUUAAAUAUAAAAAUAAAAAAUAAAAAUAAUCGUAACACAAAUAUGAUUCAAAGUGAUGUGUUUCUCUUAGCCUGUGCAACAAGGGAACGCCCUUCCGCCCGCUAGAGCUACCUUUGUGUCUCUCUAUAUAUUAGGGGUGUACAGAUCAAACCGUCAAGUUAAAUCAAAUCGAGAAAAAAAAUCGACUUAUGGUUUGGUUGGUUUGGCGUUUGAAGAAAAAAAACGAUCAUUCUUGAUUUAGUUUGGUGGUUUGGUGUUAACCAAGAAAGAGUCAAACCAAACCCAAAUCAAACCUACAUAAUAUAUAUAUAUAUAUAUAUAUUAUAAUUUAAGGAUAAGUAAAUACAUACUUGAAAUAUAUAAUAAGUCAGUUACCUUGUAAAAUUAACUAUUAUUCAUGAAAAAAAAAAAAUUGAUACAUAAAAUUUAUUCCCAUCAAUCAUAUUUAUGAACAUAUAUUGACACAUAUAUAAGUAAUUUUAGAAAAAAAUUCUUUUAAAGUCCAUACCUGAAUAUCAAAUAUAGCUCGUAACAAUUUAUCUUCCGGGUGUAUGAUGAUUCUUUUACGACUUGAAUAUUAAUUUACCUACUAAAGUAUCACUCGUCUCUAACGAAGAUCCUAAAUAAUAAUAUUUCAUAGAUUACAUUUUUAAGGCCUUGAUUGGGAUACGUAUCAAAAUACUCUCUAUUACGAAUAUCAACGAAAGGGUUUCCCAAUUGAUCUCGUCUUCUUUUCCCUUUGUUUGUUCUUUUCAAAAGGAAAACAUUGAACAUUCUUUGUUAUGGUAUUAAUCAAAGGAGUUUCAUAGUUAUCCUCUCCCUUUGUUCUCCUUUCAAACUUCAGCUUAUGACAGUUUUUUUUUUUCAUUUCUUACAAAAUUUUCUAUUUGUAUUAAACUCAAAAUGACUCCUAAACUUAAAUUAAUUAGCAUUUUUUGAAAAAAUCUUUCAUUAAUAUCAAAGACCUCCAACUAUUUCAUAAUGCAAAUUCUUGAGUUAUUAUUGAAUUUGCUCUUUUCAUGCCAUGAAAAUUUAUGAGCAUCAUACCUCUAUCAAUUUACUUAUUGAAGGUUAGCAGCAUCAAGAAUGACAUACACUGACAAUAAACUCAACAAUCUGAUUGCUUCCAUCUGUAACACCCCGUACUUAAUUACGUGCAUUAUCCAUUGUUAUAUGUGUUGGAGUAUAUGUUUUGAUCCUAAGUUAGGUAUAUAUGAGUUUAAGUAUGAGUAUUGAUUAUUUUGAGAUGAUUUCAAGUGUAUAGUUUGAUUAUAGGUGUAUAGGAAUCGACUUUAUUUAUAUCGGAAUUUUCCCGUCGAUGGUCCCAUACGAAGUUUAUUGAAUAAUCUUUCCAACGAUAUAAAGAUUUCCAAAAACGGAUAAGUUUCGGAUAUAAGCGAGCUCGUUCGAAACUUUAAAACGGUGGCCGGGAUGUGAACAGUAAAUGUGCAGGAAAACUACUGAGGCCUGCCAGUUUUUGGGUCAACUUUGAACGAUCAUAACUCCCUCAAUAUAAUGAACUGGGAGAGCUACCACAUAUCAAAAGAAAGUUCUUUGAGUCUUCUUUCCAAUGCAAUUGGUUUCAUCCAAAUCCAACAUCUGAGUAAGGAGUUAUACUCGUUUUACUUCAGCCUCUCAAAACAGAUUUUUAGGGUCAACUUCAAACGAUCAUAACUACUUGUACAGGACGAACUGGGUGGAUUAAUUUAUAUUAAAUGAAAGACCUUUGAAUUAUCUUUCUAACGAUACCAAUUUCACCCAAAUCCGAUAUCGGAGCAAAGAGUUAUGGCCGAUUUACUUUAGCCUAUCAAAACAGUCCACCAUGGACAGAUUCGGAUUUACUUAAAUUUUUAAGGGCAAUAUGGUCAUUUUCCAUCACCUCAUGGACGAAAAUUGGUCAUUAUAUACAUAUAAUUAGUCUCAUAUCCAUCAAUUAUCAUCAAGUUAUUGAAACUAAGAAACCCUAGCCAAAUUUCAACUCCAAUUAUCUUGUGAUUCAACCGUAGAAAAUCCAAAUUGAUUCCGUAGUUGUGUUCACCGUCUCAAGGGCUUCGAGAAGCACCCCUUAUUUGUGCCAACAGGACUUCGAAAUCAAAAGGGCCAUUUUUUUGGUAAGGAUGUAAAUUAUGUUGGUGUUAUUUAUAUGGAUAUGUAUAUAUAUAUAUAUAUGCAUGUGAGCAUAAGAAGUAUGUUAUUUGAUUGUUGUUGAAAGAUGAUUGGAAAUGAUGUUGGAUUAUUCUUGUGCAUGGUUGGAUUAUGUUAAAUUGUGAAGGAAUUUGGGGUGAUGAUGUAGUAUUGAUGAUGUGGUAUUGAAAUGAUGAUUAUAUAUAUAUACACACAUAAACCUAUUGUUCAAGUUGGUUUUUGGAAUGUUUUGCAAAUAUUGGUAGUAUGGAAUUAUGGAAGAGAAUUGUGGUGUUGGGUUGCUAAUACUAGAUGCCAAACAUUUCAUUGUAGAUAAGUGAUUUGUAAAGGCGGGAAGUUGUGUUGAAUUGGUAUCUGAAUCUACAACGAGGUAUGUAAAGCAUACUCUAACAAUGUUCUUUGGCAUGAAAACACCAAUGUUCCAUCAAGUAAGAUUCCGAGGUUGUCCAAAAACAUGUAUUGUUCUACGUUACCAACGAAGUUGUUUCCAUUCUAUAAAGUGUCAAAAUGUUUCAUUGAUAUACCAAAAGGCUCUUAUUUCAUUGUUGUGAUAUUGAUGAUUCUGAAACACAUUGUUGAUGUACCAAUGAGUCUUUAUUACAUCGUUAUUGUAUAGAAGGUCUAUUACUUGGUUCCUAUUGAUGUAUCAUUGUUUCAAAGUAUUAAAAUGUGGAGGCGACCGAAAUAACAAUCUCAAAGAUUAAUUGAACUAAGUGAUGGGAGUUCUCUCUUAUCGGGUGGUAUCCCAGGGGCAUAAGCCUAGCAUGGGUCGAUCCCUAUUUAUGUGUUUAUGGGUGGUAUCCCAGGGGCAUAAGCCUAGCAUGGGUCGAUCCCAGUUGAUAUGUACUGGAGGCAUCCUAAUGGUCACAGUACAGUACAGUAAUGAUUACAAAGACGAUAAGAACGAAGGUAAAGUGAUUGAAUAAAUACAAUGUACAGGUUGUCACAAGUUCUAGUAAGUGUGGUCCACUCCUAUUACGACUUAUUCACUUGUUUCUGAUUUCUAUUGAGCUCCUAUAUCAUAUGUGAUUAUUUACAGCUUUACAUACUCAGUACAUAUUUCGUACUGACGUCCCUCACGGGGGACCUGCAUUUCAUGCUGCAGGCACAGGUACCUCAGCUCAUACACCGCACAAGUAGGAGCCAGGUCAUACAGCUAUUGUUGGUGAGCUCCAGUUUGCUUCGGAGCUUUCCGAGUCGGUUCCUUAUGUUUUGUUAUUGUACAUGAGUCACGUGUGGGCGGGGGUUUGUCCCGACCCUAGUUAUGUCAUGUAUAUCCUAGAGGCUUUGUAGACAUAAGGAAGGGUAAAGUCAUGGAAGUUUAUAUAGUAACAUUAUAUUUGUAUAUGUGGUGGCCCCGACGGCCAAGUAUUAUAUAUAUAUAUUUGUGCGUGUUGUGCUGAUACAGGUAAUUAGACCUUUCUAUAUGCAACGAAGUGCUGUCCAAUUUUUGGUGACAUGUAAGUGAAAGUACAGGUAUUUGAACGGGUUCUCCCGGGCCUUCUCGGCUUCGGGUGCCAGUCCGGCCCGAUGGGAUUUUGGGGCGUGACACCAUCAUAGCUAUAAAAAGGAUUCAUAAUCGUAGAAACUCUUUAUUCAUGUAAAUUAUUAAAACACACAACACAUAUAAAAACAAAUAACUAUUCAAAUCUUCUCAACAAAUCAAUACGAUAAAUUAAAAGCCUAACGGAGAAAGGUUUUGGCUGAUUUCUUAUUUGAUUAAUAAUAUUAGCUUCUUCAUUAUCAAAGAUACAAAACAUCGCCUACAAUAACAAAGACUUUUAGUGGCAAGAAAUAUACACUUUAACAAAUAGUACUAAGACUUUUACCGGCAUUAAUUUAUUGACAUUGAGUCCAAUGUUACUAUAAACUUUAGAAACAAUUACAAAGAGUACUAAAAGAAGAUUAAAAAAACAUUAGCCUUGAGCCAAAAGAUAUUCAUGAACUUUAGUGUUGUAUAACAUUGAGACGUUGCAAUAUAUGUCUGGAAGGCCUUCGUUGAUUGUGUACGAACAAAAUACGAAUCCAAAGGCAAGGUAAGAAAGGGUUUAACUAAUGGAGAUAUUAACUCUUUCGGGAAUUAGUAACACGUAAAUCAUGUCACACCAAGACCAAUCAAUAUUUGAAUGAAACAGAUUUGAAUGGUCAUAGUUCGGUAGGAAGAAUUGGUAGUCACUACAAAAAAAAUAGCAUUUAGCGACACGCCAUAUUCAUCGUUAUCAUAUGAAAAUCCGUCGCUAAAUAGAAAUAGCGACGGAAUAGCAACGGAAUUUGUUCUGUCGCUAUAUUGCUCAUUGCUAACCUCAUAGCGACAAAAAAUUGAAUUCUGUCGCAAAAUUUGUGACCAAUUAGCGACGAAACAGUUUGGUUGUUGAUAUUACUGACGUACAUUUCCGUUGCUAUAGCUUUGCUAUUCCCAAAAUUCAUUUUGGUCGUGGCUUAAUUUACGACAGAAUAUUUUAUCGUUGAUCCGUUGCAACAUAAUUUGGUCUACUUAUUUAGCAACCAAAUUUAUCCAUCGCUAAAGUUUUUCAGUAGCUACGACUGAUGUUAGUCACUAAUUUUUUGUCGCUAAUUACAGCCGUCUUUAGCAACUAAAUUAAUCCGUCCCUAAAGUUUUUCAGUAGCAACACCAAAAGUUAGUCACUAAUUUUUUGUCGCUAAUAAUUUUAUAAGAAAAUAGUUGAAACACGUAAAUUAUAAAAUCAUUAACUAUCCAACAUUCAAAUAGAUAGCAAAAUUCACAACAAUUAUGUCCAACACCCACAAUUUCAAGUAUUUUAUCAAACAUAAACUAAUGUCAAAAUAGUCUAUCAAAAAUUAAUGCAACGAUCAUGGACUACGAAUAAUAUGAAGCUACAAAUCAACGUUAUCAUCAUCAUCAUGAGUAGGAGGAGGAUCAAGCACGGCCCUAUCUUGUACCCUAGUACCACCAACACGCUCAAUAACUAUCGGAAGAAAAUGAGUAGUAAGGGCCAGAAUCUAUUGCUUCACCAACUCCUCCAUAUUUGUUGUCGGUAAAGAAAUCGAAGGUGGUACUGAUGAUGUGGAAGAAUUGCAGGCACACAGUUUUUUCCCAAAGUAACUUGUAGCUUAAGAUCCAAGACCAAACAAUCUUUUCUUCUCUGCUCCUCCCGCAGCUUCAUAAUAUGUCUCCAAUUGAUCUAUUUCAGAUUCACAUUGUACUUUUUCCCGUAUAAUUUCUUCAUACCUUUCCUGUAACAAGUGAAGUUAUUAAAAUAGACUCAAGUUCAUGUCAACACAAAAGAAAAAUAAGAGAUGAGUAUCAUAUCGUUAGAUGUAAGUUAUGGACUUACAUGUAGAAGUCGGGAACGCUCACCAACAAAAGAUUUUCCAUCAUGAUUAUGUGUAUGGACGUGCAAAUGUAACUCACUUGAAGUUGAAUCUCGACCUAUUUUAAGAGCCUAUACAGAAUUUUCAAGUAUUUAGAAUGAGACCAACGUACAUUAGCAGUAUACCAAAAGAGAAUCAUGAUACACCACCAAGUUUCUUUGCCCUAUUCUAAGCAAAAAAAUGUCACCAAACAUGAUGGUAUAGUAGCAAAAUAAAGAGGAAAAAUAAGAGAGUAGCAGGAAAGAAUUGUUGCAAAACAAAGAGGAAAAACAAGAGAAACUGCAGCAACUGUUUGCUGAAAAAAUAGCAUAAAACCAGCAGCAGCUGCAAUAACAGAAAACAACAGCAGUAACAAUUUCCAGCAACUAUUAGUGUAACAAAUAAGAAUGCACAUGUAGAAAACAGCUGCUGCAGUUCUGGAAAACAACAACUAUUGGUUUCUUGGGCAGUAUGUUGCAAUUCUGGAAAAUAGCUGUUUGCUGGAAAAGUAGCAUAAAACCAGCAGCAGCUGUAAUAAUAGAAAACAGCAAAUAUGUUCCACAGAGAAAAUAUUCUUUUUAUUGCAAGAUAGAUAGAGGUAAAAUUGCAAAUACACUACCCUCACGCACACGGUGAGAUUACACUAGCUACGUUUUUGGUUGGAACCAUGAAGUACAGUUAGGAACAAAAUGAGGAUAUGUUUCAUUGAAAAGAUCUGCCAAUAGAAUUAAUAAAAAAAAAGUUGAUGAUUGAAGAAACAUCAUCAAUAUAAAUAGUAGAUAGCAUUUAAAUAUAAGUAAAGGAUAUUAAGGCAGAUAUUUUAGGGUUAAAAUAGUUGCCUUACUAUCCUUGUUUUGCAGCCCAAACAAGGUAGCACCACUACCAGCUGCUUGCUACGCACUUUAGACACAACCAUAGCUACUAAAACAACGAAGUAACGACUUAAAACUAAUCAGCUAUUUCAAGGUACGUAGCAGUAGACCAGAGCAUCACAUAUAGCGCCAAAAUAAAGUGGAAAAAAUGGCAUGUCAACAGCCAAAAGAACAUAGCAGCAACCCAAACAAAAUAACUUUCUGGGUUGAUGAACAAUUUUCAUGAAAUAUAUGCUUACAAGUUUUUUCCGGUGCUCUCCAGCUGUGAUAGAGCCACCAGUGUGUUUCCCAACAUCUACUUUAUGUCCACCACAACAAUUCUUUGAAUUUAUCUCGGACUUCUUAACACAGUCAUCACUUUGCCAAAGUUCCAUCCACUUUUCCCACACAUGGUCAUUUACAAAUUUCGGUUGAACCGUAGCUCUAUGCUUCUUUAUAUUGGAAAUAAAAUUCUUGUAGCAUAAUACAGCCUUCUUCAUCCAUUGUUGCUUCACUAGAACUUCACUAACGGAAGCAUCCCAAUAGAAAUUCUUCUGAAAUUCAGUUUAAAGUAAUAUAAUUAAGUGUUAGCUGCAAACUCAAACAACUUCUAUUGAUUAUGAUCUUAAAAAACAUACCUUGAAUUCUCCAAAAUAACCAUCUUUGACAUCUUGUGAAACACCUUUCCAGUUGAUCUCAUUAGGAUCAACUUUAGUUUUGAAAGACAAUGUAAUGGAACUGGAGCAUUUGGAAGAUGGUUCCAACCUGUACAAGAUGUAAGGUGUUCAUCAUCAUCACCCCAAUACAACAUCUAUCCUGAUUCACAACAAUCAAUCUUUUCAACUGGCAAACCCAAGCUACGCACUAACUUCUUCAUCUGAUAAUAGUUAUCAAGCACGAUGUUAUCUUCAGGUAAAGACUCCUUAAGCUAUUGCAUCAUUUGGUUAUAGCCUCUCUGUGACAUAUUGUUCUCCAUUUUAAUAUUCAACAUUCGAGAGACAACUGCAAGUUGAGAGAGGGAUGAACCGGGAUAUAAUUUUGCAUCAGCAGCAUUUAACAAAUCAUAAAAUUUUUUAGAAACGAGAUUAGGAUCUUCCUCUAAUGAAUGUUGAAAAGGAUGAGAUGAUUCGGGUUCACUAUUGCUAUAAGAUUGCCAGCUUGAACUCUGAGAAAAGUUGGGACCAGCUCAAAAUCAUUUAUCGGUAUGGAUUCUCUUCAAAUAUUGGUUGACCAUCACCAUGCAAUGCAUUACCAUAAGAAGUCUCACUUAUAUCAUCUCUUUCCCCUUGAUGCUUCCAAAUAAAAUAGUUCUCAAUAAAUCCAGAUUGAUAAAGGUGACAUUUAAUAGUUUCAACAUCCAUGAAUUUAUAGUUCUGAUAUUUUGCACAUGGACAUCUAACUUUGUCACCACUCAUACUAUUUGGUUGAGAACAUACAAAUUGAAUAAAUUCAUCCACCCCGAUUACAAAUCUAGAGUAUAAACCCCCUCGGCCAUCUAACCUCUCAUACAUCCAACUACACUCUAGAUUAUUCAUGUUCCUAUUAAGGUUGAAAUAAAAAAAAAGGAUAAUCAGUGCUAAUUAACCAGCUUAAUAAGAAACACGACAAUUAGUCUUAAUUAAUAAUUAACCUUGUUGGAAAUUUUUAUUAACAAAUACGAUAAUGUAUGAUCCAGGAUCUAUAUAAAGAACUACUUAGCAAAGAAAGCAUAAUUAAGUUGAUCAAUUAAGAGUUAAAUAGUUUCACUAAAUUAUUCAAACUUAUGCUCUUAAAGUAGAAAACAAAACUAGUUUACCUUUAAAAUAAGAUAAAAGUGAUACAUACUUCUAUUUUAAGUUACAAACAUAAUCGAGAAGCCAACAAGCUUACCAAGAAAAAUUUAAAAGUCGAAAGAAAGUUUUAAAACACACCUGAUUGAAUACAAUACUCCACUUAUUUUACCACCAAUCUACAACUGCACUACACCAAUUCCAGUAAAAAGACACCUAAAAGAUAAGUGUAUCAAAUAAGUAUUUGAAUACAUGACACACCCCGUUAACAUUUUUGCAGAAUCCAAGCAACAUUGAUGUACAUGCAAAACAUUUGUAAAGAAUCGAUUAUUGGUUUAUUGGUUAAAACUAUUUCCCUUAUAUAUUUUAGAGCUUCCGUGGAAUAUAGAAGUAUUAAGGAAUAACUUUUUUUUCUUUAGUACAGUUGGAUAAAUAACAUAUGAUGUAUAUAUGAUGGCUAAAUAACAUGGAAUAAUUUUUUAUCUUCAGUACAGUUGGAUAAUUUUAUUAUGUGUUUUGUGAAGUACCUCUAAAUUUUCAUACAAGUGCAAGACUAACUUAAGGAUUCAAAAAGCUCCUCUUAUAAUUAGAGAAGAAGUUAAUGCAUCACUUUGGAGGCAUUGGUUGCUAUAGACUACCCUAAGAAGAAAACCACUUGUUUAACUUUAAUUAUGAAAUUGAUACGUAUGAUUCAAACCAUACACAUUGAUGCUCGAUAUAUAAAGGACAAGGGUAUAUUUCAAAACAAUCCAGUUUCAACUUCUAACUUCGCCAUUCAACUAAUAAACCGACCACAUAAGACAAAAGUUUACAUUGCUUCACUAGCCAUAGUCCAAAGGAAUUAUUAUNNNNNNNNNNNNNNNNNNNNNNNNNNNNNNNNNNNNNNNNNNNNNNNNNNNNNNNNNNNNNNNNNNNNNUUUCCCUCCCUGGACGAAUAAAUACUCAAAAGUGCUAAAGCAUAUUCCAACUACCAAAGAUGGAUUUCUACCAUAGGACUAGGCAAAGUUAAAUGCCUCAGAGGAUAGCUCUACGUCACAGAACAUACAAAUAGACAAAAUUUUGUUGAAGUAAGCCUAAAAUAACACAACCCAUUAUAGAAAUAUUUCAACAUGUAGCGGGGAAUUAAAAACCAGUAGGAUGACUCAAUAAACCAAAGCUGUUGAUUCUUUAUGAGAAGUCAAACUUUCUACAUUAUUGGUUGAUGCCUUUCUUCCUAAACCACCUCACUGGACGGAUUAAAUGGCAAAUAAAGGCCAAGACAGGGUAGUAGUGUCACACAUCAUAACAACACUUACAAAGAACAGAAAGAGAAACAUACCUCAAAUAGCUGGUUCCAUUAAAGCCAAAAGAAAGUAGUCGCGAAUCAAGAAUCUUUCCUUGCAGAUCAGUUCAGAAAUUACAUGCAAAUGGAAUUAAUCAGUUGAAUAGAGGUCAAAUUAGAAGCACGUAUCCAAGAACUUGAAGAUCGGAAGCUGAUUCAGUAAAAAGGAAGACAAGUGAAGCAGGAGUAGUGAAGAAUUUUGAUCUAGAAAUGGAGAGGCACAUCAGUAUAGAGGGGAAAGUAUCUCAUUUUAGAGAGGAAGAGAUGGAGGGUGGGUGGAAAUGAAUAAAACCGUAGAGCUCCCUCCUUUUCUAUAGUAAAAAUAAUUAAUUAGAAAACUAUAAUUAAUAUUUUACGACGGCAUAGUUGGUCGCUAAACAAAAAACUUUUUUUUUUAAAAGAAAAAUGAAGGGCACCGACGAAAGUUUGUUGCUAAAUCCGUUGCUACGAAAUAAUUAACAUAGCGACCAAAAAAUUCUUUGCUAAUCCGUCAUUAAAUUUGGGCGCCAAUUUUUCCCGUUAUUAUUUAGUGACGAAAAUCAAAUUCCGUCACUGAUUCGUUGCUAAGAACAUAUAAAAAAAUUGGACUGCAACGUCUGCGACCAAAUUGAAUGUUCCGUUGCUAAUCCGUCGCUACAUAGUAACGAAAGUUGGUCUGUCAGUAAAUUUCGUCGCUAAACACAGUUUUUUUGUAGUGAGUAGACACAAAAUAAGGGGCAAUCCGGCUUUUUGUCCUACAUGUUCCUUCAUAGAGAGUAAAAUCGUUCUAGUUGGAUCCACAUUUAGGCUUACAUGUCUCGGUUUAAAGAACUACCUGAUGCCACAUCCUUUGCUCUUGAUGGAUGGCAGCUAGAUUGUUGAUUGCCUAGUUCAAUAAUUGCUAUCUUGCUAAACAACAACCUUAUCUUCGCCUUUAAUCCCUUCUAUCCUUGUAAUACCAACUUUGACAUUCUCGUUCCUGGUUAUUUUUUUUUUCAUUUCCUUUACCUUCGACUUGCCAUUUAACAAAUUCAAAAGGCCUGGAGUCGUUCAAAGUGAAUAGGCCACAAAUAGAGUUGAACCAAGUAGCACUGCAAAGGCAUAAUGAUAGUAGGGUCGGGAUAUCCCCGCUCUCCGAACCGGACGUGAGGGUCUCCCCUCAUCCGGCUCUCUGUAUGGAAAUCUCCACUCACUGCUUCCCCUAAUAUCCUCCCUUUACCACAUCACGAGGGUUUACAUGAGAUCCCGGAGGCUCGCUCGGUAAGGUUUUUAUACCAUACCUUUUGACUUACCUCUGCUCUAGUAGUUACUGAACUCACUAUAGUAGUUUGCCUGGCCAAGUUUAUUUCUAUGCCCCUUUUUCUUAAAAUAAAUUUAUGCACUAGAGUUCCCAUUUCCUCAGGUAGAUUACAUAUAAGAAUACAAGUUUUUUGCUUUCUUUGAUUCCCAAUGAUUUUAGUUAGAGUUAUUGUUUAUUCUGGACAGUUUCAGUUGCUUUUGCUGUCGGUUUAGAUUAGGGACAAAGGGACUAGAGUCAACCUUACUCCCUUCAUUUGAGUUGGAGGUCUUACACCCUUAUCACUAUGCAUAGGGGUUCCCCCCCCCUCUUAAAAUGAAUAUAAACUUUCUCCCUAUGUUAUUGGCUAGUCGGGAUUGAUAGCAAAGAGAACACUGGCUUGAGGGAACUAUGCCCUAGUAGUACACUUUCUUUAUAAGGGAACUAUGUGGGGGAACUUACUUCACUUGCUUAUCCGGAGACAAAAACAUAUUAGGGUAGUCCCAUUACUUAAAGUAAGAUAAUGAAAAUUAUUUUAGUAAAAGUUAUGCCCCUUAGCUUAGAUACAUGGGAGAAAAGAUAGUCACGCUUGCUAACCCUGAUAGUCCAUUAAAGGAAAUAAAAUGAACACCAACUGAAACCAUCGAGAAAUCCUUAGCAUGAAAAGCGAAAAGGAUAGCAACUGGCUCUCAAUAAACUCCUACUAAAUGUCUAGCAAGAGCAACUUGAGCUUGAUCUUAAUCCUCAGGAAAAGUAACUGACAAUUGCUUAAAGAGAUCUCGCAUAGACCCUUGUGGUAUAACUUUUAUUUAUGGGUGAUUUUUAUUUGUGGAUGUUUUGGCCGAGUGGUCAUUUGUGUCCAUUCCGAUUGUUUAAAGUUAUUUGAGGUAUAAAGGGCCAAAUAAAUAAAAGUCUUAUGCAUAAAAAAGAAAGAAGACUGAUUUUGUAGGGUUUUCUUAUAGAAAAAAAAAGCAAACAACAUAAAUCCCAAUAGUUUGAAAUUUAAUUACAGAAAAUUCUGACAUUUUGCAUAAUUAAUAAAAAUCCCAAUUUUGGUCCAGCGAGAUACAUAAUUGGCUCUCGAUACAUCCAACAAAGAUACAUUUUUUCCUUUGUACAGAUACAUAAUUAGCUCCUGAUAUAUAUUUUUUAUUUUGGGUUUGUCGAGAUACAUAAUACAUCCAAUGAAGAUAUAUUUUUUCCUUUAUAAAAAUACAUAAUUAGCUCCCGAUAUAUAUUUUUAAAAUUUUGGGUCUGUCAAGAUACAUAAUUAGUUCUCUGAUACAUUCAACGAAGAUAUAUAAUUAGUUGAGAUUUUUGCAAUUAUUUUGUAAGGAUAGAAAUUUAUGUAAAUAUGCUAAGUUAAGGUGUAUGUUUAUGUUAUUUAAAAAAAAAAAAAGCAAAAAAACCAACCAUUUAUGUAGUUUACCCAGUUAUCCCUUAAAUAUACAACAUUUGAUUGUUUAACGCAAUUUAUAACAACUCUUUUUAGUUUGUAACUUAUAGCAAUUUUAUUUUUUUUGUAAAAAAAUAAUAAAAAUAGAAUUUUUAAUUUUCAGAAACAUAUUUUUUAUUUUUGGUAAAAAAAAGCAUACCCUUCAAAAUAGAUGGUAGUUAUUAAAGGAUGUCAAUCACCCCCAAUUUCUCUCAAACAAUUUUAAAGAAGCUUCUUUUUCUCUAAAAAUAUUCUUCUUUUCCAACAAUAAUCUUCUUCAACAAAUCAACAAAAUAUACUAAUUGAAGCACAAAAUAUCUCAAUUAAGGGUGGUAUUUAAGGCAUUGAAUUGGAUUUAAAUACUAACUAAAGUAUUUUAAUUGAAAUUGUGGUUAUUCAAAGGAAAAAAAUGAAAACAACGGAUCGAUUGUGUGAAAACACGGAGGGUGAUAAUUUACAUUCAAUCAUGAUACAACAUGAAGGUAGAUGAAAUAUCACAAGUGUUUUUUUAUGUAUUCAAUCAUAAUUUCUCAAAUAAUUUUGAUAUUUAUAGCGAGAAAUUCGAUUAUAAUACUAACUUAAGUAUUUUAAUUGAAGCUGAAGUUAUUCAAAAUGAAAAAAAAUGAAAAAGAAAAAAUGAUUUUCUCAUAAUAUGGAUGGUGAUAAUUACAUUCAAUCAUACAACAUGGAGGAAGCUGGAAUAUCACAUAUAAUUUCAAUCUUUUUCAAUGUUUAAAUUCUUCAAAUUCCAUACAUAAAAUUAUGUUGAUUUGAUUAUAUUUUAUUUGUUUUGUAUUGAUUUAGAAAAGUACACAUGUGAAUUUCAAAUUCGAAGAAAUUGUUUAUUAUUAAAAAACGCAAUACAAUGACCCGAUCAAUGUGAUUGCAUUUUGGUGUGCAGGUGUAUUUAAAUCAAGGAAAGGUGAAUAGAAAUUUCUUCAUCAAGUAUCCAUUGUGUAUAAUGUUGAGGAAUGUGACUAUGGAUGUAAUAGUGUAGUGUCGAAUUCAUUGUUGAUGAAAAUAGUUUACAUUCAAUUAAAGAAAUUCGGGAGAUAAAAGAUCUAUAUUAAAAUAAUUGCUUGGGGCCAAAACAAUAAUCACUAAAAUGUAGAAGAUCUACCAAUUCAACCGUUAAACAUAAUGUGAUUAGUUGUUUUUGUUUCACCAUUAAGAUGCACAUUGAUUGUAUUGUAUUGUAUUGUAUUAAAGAGGUAUAUAAAUUCGUAUUGUAUGGAAAAGGUAUAUAAAUAGAUGUCCCAUAUAAUAUGAUUAGUUAUUUCGUAUUGUAUGAAAAGAGUAUUUAAAAAAGAUACUUCAUGACGUGAUUAGUUAUUUCAUGUUUCAUGAAAAUUGUAUCGAAAUUGAUAUCAUGCAGUUGUAGCAGUGAAUUAAUUUAGUAUGUAGUAUGAUAUUUUAGGCAUCAGGUAAUAUAUUGUUUCAAAGAUUGGGUCUUUGACAACAUGUGUUGUUGAGAAUUUUGUAAUGGAAUGAGUAUGUAAAUUGGUAUCACCUUACUAGAAUAUCAUAAUUCAAAAAAUACAAGUUUGUAUAUUUAUUUCAUACACUAAAAUAAAUAAUAACAUACAAUAUUUGGUGUCAAUUUCUAUACUUAUUAUACUCAUUUCAUAUAAAUAUUACAUGUAAGAAACUAUUUUAUAAACCUUAAGCGAAAUAUUGAUUUUAUAUAGGUUUCAUACACGAAAAUUCUAAGAAAAAUUCUAUAUAACAUGUUCAAUUUAUAUACUCAUUCAAAUCGAAGCAACUUUGAAUCUCAAAAAAGAAAUAUAUGACGGAAAAAUCAACUUCAUACGUAAGAUAUAUAUAUCGUUCAGUAAAAAAAAAAGAGAAAAAAUUAAUUUAUGGUAAAGAAGUGAAUUAAUGGUUGAGAAAUCUUUCAUCAGUAAAGUGACAAUGAAAAAUUGUGUAAAUAUUGAAAUAAUAACUUAAUUAAUAAAGUUUUAAGAAGUCAAAUAUUGUGUAUCAAUGUAAAAAAAUAUCUUUACUAUAUUUUGCUUCUUAAUUUAAGAACUGAUUUUGUAACUUAAUUAAUAAUAAAAUAAAAAAGAGAUAGUUAUUGAUAUCAACAAUAACACUUGCCAUGAUUAUCAAAAGAUUUAAUGAAGAGAAAUAAAUAUUAAAUGCUAUAAAUAAGGAGAUAAUGUGAAUAUUAAUUAUUAAAAAAAUAAUGUUUUAUUAUUAUUAUUAUUAUUAUUUUAAAUUCUUAAAAGUUGUUAUAACUUGCAAUUAUUUCUUUAAUUCAAUAAUCAUUAAAAAGUAUUGCUAUAACUUAUAAUAAACAAUCUUAAUAACUAUAUUUGACAUAAUUUUUCAUCAUCAAAAUCACUCUGGCUCAAACACAUUAAAACUUGGCCGGAUUAGACGGGUCAUAUGGGUUUAGGCUAGUUUCCUAGGGCGUAAAUCAAUGUGAGUCAGACUUAUAAGCCCAUAUUUGCAAAAACGAAAGCCCAAUCCAAAUAGUUCAGACUUCAAAAACCAACAGGCCCAAAUUAUCACUCACCAUCAGCUAAACUUUGAGCAUAAUUCCCUUGUUCAAAGCUCCAAGUGACAGUGGGUGAGCGAGCGAGUCAGAAGAGUAGCGAGGCCAUUGAUGAUGAUGGCGAAAGUGAAAUAGCCAAUGGGGAUCGUAGGUCUUCAUGUAGUUCCAAAUGCCAGAGAAGUUCUCAUUAAUCUUUAUACGAAAACCCUAGAGGAGAUCAAGGCUGUGCCGGAGGAUGCAGAAUAUCGCAAAGAUGUGGAAAGCUUCACGCGCCGCUGUUUAAGUGUAUGUCAGGAGGAAUAAGUUUUUGAAAUGAUUGAGAAGCGGCUUGGUUGUGGUCUGGUUGAAAAGUUAAUUGAGGACGCUCAGCAUGAGCUUAAUCUCGUUGGCCGCAUGAACGGUCCGUACACUAACAAACUUUUGUCUUCCCUUUUUUCUGAAUUUGUAUGCAAUUGUUAACAACGACAACAACAUAUCAGUGUAUUCCCACAUAGUGGGGUGUAGGGUGUACGCAGACCAUGCCCUACCUCAGGUGUAGUUAGAACUGAUAUCAGUAUAGCAAAAUAAUACUAACACCGAUAUCCACAAAAUAAUACUACAACCACAAGAUAAUACUAAAAACUAUUUAUUUGAAAUUAUAUACAUCACUGAACACACAAAUAAAGAACACUCCUCUACUAUAACCGACACACUCCCACCCCCUAACCCUCUGCCCUAGUCCGUGUCUUCCAUACCUUCCUAUCGAGGGUUAUGUCCUCUAUAAGCUGUAACUGUUCCAUAUUAUGCCUAAUCACCUCCCUCCAAUAUUUCUUUGGCCUACCUCUACUCCACCUAAAACCAUCCAUAGCCAGUGUCUCACACCUCCCGCAUUAGACCAUCAGAGCCCCUCUUCAACAUGUGCCUGAACCAACGUAACUACACUUCUCGCAUCUUAUCCUCCACUGAAGCCACCUCUACCUUCUCCUGAAUAAUUUCAUUCCUCACCUUAUAUUUUUCGGUAUGGCCACAUAUCCAUCGCAAUAUCCUCAUCUCCGCCACCUUCAAACUUUGAAUGUGGGAGUUCUUAACUGGCCAAUUCUCCGUUCCAUACAGCAUAGCCAGUCGAACUGCCACUCCGUAGAACUUACCUUUAGGUUUAGGGUACCUUUUUAUCACAUAAAACUCCCGACACGAGCCUCCAUUUCAACCACCCUGUCCCAAUACGAUGCGUGAGAUCCUCAUCUAUCUCACCAUUGCCCUGAAUCAUAAACCCUAGAUACUUGAAACUCUCCCUUCUCUGUAUGGUCUAGCUCCACAACCACGUCAGCCUUUUACGACACAUGACUAAACUUACAUUACAAAUACUCUGUCUUGGUCCUGCUCAAUCGAAAUUUUUAGACUCAAGGGUCUGUCUCCAAAUCUUCAACUUAUCAUUAACUCCUCUUCGAGUCUCGUCAAUCAAUACCACAUCAUCAGCAAAUAACAUAUACCAAGGUAGCUCCCCUUGAAUAUGUCGCGUCAAAACAUCUAUCACCAAGGCAAAUAAAAAAGGGCUAAAAGUCAAUCCCUGGUGCAAACCUAUCGAAAUCGAAAAAUGCUCCGAAUCUCUACCCACCGUCCUCACACGAGUCUUUGUGCCAUCAUACAUAUCUUGAAUCGAUCUAGUGUACGCCACGGGCACCCCUCUAGCCUCCAAGCACCUCCACAGAAUCUCCCUGGGAACUCUGUCAUAUGCCUUCUUAAGAUCAAUAAACACCAUGUGCAAGUCCUCUUUCUUCUCUCGAAAUUGCUCCACUAAUCUCCUCACAAGGUGAAUGGCCUCCGUAGUCGAGCGACCUAGCAUGAAACUGAACUGAUUCUCAUAGAUAGUCACGAUCCUUCUCAACCUCAACUCUACCACCCUUUAUCAAACCUUUAUCGUAUGACUCAACAACUUGAUACCUCUAUAAUUGUUGCAACUCUGGAUGUCUCCCUUGUUCUUAUACAAAGGAAUCAUCGUAAUCCACCUCCACGCUUCAGGUAUUUUGCCGCCCUAAAAAUGAUGUUAAACAACCUUGUCAACCACUCCAAACCUGCCCCGCUAGUGCUCUUCCAAAAAUCCACUGGAAUCUCAUAUGGCCCCGUCGCCCUACCCUUACGCAUCUUGCGAAUAGUCCCGUUGACCUCUUCAACCUUGAUAUGCCUACAAUAAUUAUAAUCGCGACACUUCUCAGAUUUCUCUAAGUCCCCCAACACAAAACCUUUGUCCCCUCGUCGUUCAAAAGUUUAUCAAAAUAGGACUACCCCCUCUUCCUAAUGAGAGCAUCAUCAACCAACACUGUACCAUCCUCUUCCUUAAUGCAUUUUACUUGGUCAAGGUUACGAGCCCUCCGCUUCCUGGCCUUGGCAAGCCUAUAUAACUUCUUAUCCCCAUCUUUCUCCUCUAAAAUCGCAUACAAACUCUCAAAAGUUGUUGUCUUAGCCGUCGUAACUGCUAACUAGCCUCUUUCUUAGCUACCUUAUACUGCUCCUUAUUCGUCUGCCUUUCCUCAUCAUUAUUUCUCUCAACUAACUUAGCAUAAGCCACCUUCUUACACUCCACCUUUCUCUUAACCUCUUCAUUUCACCACCAGUCCCCUCGAUGCUUUCCAGAUCGACCUCUCGAGACACCCAACACCUCUCAAGCGAUCUCCUUAAUGCAACUGAUAGUCGUCUCCCACAUACUCUCCACAUCCCCUCUACUCUCUAAAUCCCCCAUACUCUUCAACUUCUCCCCCAUUUCUAAAGCACUAGCCAAAGUCAACCUACCCCACUUAAUCCCGGGUCGAGCCUCCACACUCCUCUUCUAUCGGCCCUUAUUGAUUACCAAGUCCAUCACCAACAACCUAUGUUGAGUCGAAAGAUUCUCGCUAGGUAUGACCUUACAGUCUCUACAAAUCGCUCUAUCACCGUUCCUAAGGAGCAAAAAUUCUAUCCGGGUCUUGGCUACCAAACUACAAAAGGUAAUAAGAUGUUCCUCCCUCUUUGGGAAGCUUGAAUUCACCACCCAUAACCUAAAAGCCCUAGCAAAAUCUAAAAGAGAAACUCCUUUUCCAUUUCGAUCCCCGAAACUGAAAUCGCCAUGCACAUCAUCAUACCUUCUCGGUAUAGACCCAAUAUGCCCAUUGAUAUCCCCUCCAACAAACAACAUCUCCGAGCUCGAAAUGCCACUAACCACUCAUCCAAAGCCUCCCAAAACUCUUCUUCUCCUCCUCGUCCAAACCUGUUUGCGGAGCGUAGGCACUAAUAACGCUCAAUGAAGACCCCCCAACGACCAACCUAAUCUAAUCGACAUCAACCUAUCGUUUACCCAUUUAACCUCUACCAUCUACCCCCAAAGCUCUUCAUCUACUACGAUACCUACCCCAUUUCUAUGCCUCAUACUACCCGAGUACUACAACUUAUACCCGUCCGCAUCCCUCGCCUUAGAGCCUAACCAUUUGGUUUCCUAGAUACAAGCUAUACUAAUCUUCCUUUUCCUAAGAAUCUUCACGAGCUCUAGAACUUAGCUUGAAGAGUCCCUAUGUUCCAAGAACUAAUUCUCAACUUGGACUCUCCCUUACCCCACCUAACCCUACUACCCCUGGCCCCCAAUCCCAAACUCGAUCCUAGACCCACCCCUAACCCAAUGCUAGCCCCCACCCCCACUCUCACCCUAGAACCUAGUUCAGACCUCAACCCCAACCUAGAACAUGACCCUAGCUUAUCAUCGACCACUAAAACCACUAUUCAAUGAAAGAAAGAAAAAAGGCGAGUAAAUAGGUAAGGCUAAGAAACAAAAAGAAAAGACUAAAAAGAUGUAAAGGUAAUAAUGAGAUAAAUCUAUAGAGAGAAAAUCAAGAAACAAUCACAUAUACCCACAGCCACAAUCACUAUCCAGUUUGACAACCAAUUAUCAAUAACAACUCUACUAAUCAGAAUACGUCUAAUCAGCUUUAGAAAGUAAAACCAACACAAGCAAAAAUACCAACACGGUAAAAGAGAAACUGAAACCAAUAAUCCCACAAGAACAGUCAAGAUAAAUAAUCAAGGAACCAAGAAAGAAAUGACUGAAGAUAUAUAUCAAUGACACGGGGCAUAUAAAAUAGAAGAGAUGAAAUGAGGGCACCUGAUCCUGUAAAAAGAAAAAGAGGAAGUGAUGGUGUUUUCUUGAUCUUUUGUUGGAUUCCGACAAUUUGGUGGAGAAAUUGGUCGCCGGGGAAUGUUGCUGCCGCCGCUUUUACCCACUAUUGAUAUCACCCCUGAUAUGAAUACCGAAAAAUGUGCUGGCCGCCGAUAAAACCUGUUGUCGGAGUAAUCUGCCGGAGCUGGUUACCACUGCUUUUUGGUCAUUGCCGGACCAGCGAUUCCAAUAGUUAAAAGAGGUUUGUGUCUCGCUGGAAAUAUGGGGUGCCGGCAGAGAAAAAGAUAGGGAGAGAAGGAUCAAGAGAGAGAAAUGGGUUGAAUGGAUCCGAUACGGGGAAAUUUUUUCCUCUUUUUUUUGCUUUUGGUUAUACUGUGUGAAAUGAUUAAUGAGACAAUAGUAGAUCUAUGUUUUGAUUUUCCUGUUUGGUACUAUGAUUAUGGGAGAUUGGCCUUGGUGAGAAAUGUAGGAUAGUAAGAUAAACUACUGUUGUGGUGAUCUACCGAUGAUAGUUUUCAACCUCAAUUGAUAACCUUUCAAGAUUAAUAAUGUUAGCAUAAAUCAUAUCCAAUUGCGCACUAACAAGAGGUUCAAAUUUGCUUCAUUUGAUGCAAUGUUCACUUUGUCAAAAAUAUAUAAUCUUGGUCUUCCUGUCUACCAUUAAAAGUGUAACACCCCGAUUCGUUGAACCGGAAUGCUACACGGUGCUCAUGACCCCGAGGGACCACAAGCUAACCCAUGACUGAUAUCUGUACCUGUAUACUGCAAAUCAUGAUAUAAUAAUACGGAAUACAUAGAACUGUAAGGCCAUAAGGUUCAACUGAAUAAAAUCAUGUGGGUGAAAAUACCCAAAACAACUCAAUCUGAAAGCUAAGUUGAACAUAAAUCUGAAAGACUCUAAACUGUCUAAAUAAGGAGUUGAACAUAUCUCCAACUAACUCUAUAAAACUGACCUAAAGAAAUAAAUAAAUAAAUCAAAUCAUACUGUCCUCAAACCAAUGAGGACUCACUGUGUCUCUGUGACUAGAAUGCUACCGCUACUGCUGGGCUGGAGCUCAUGUCCCGGAACCUAUGGUGUAAAAUGAAAAGAAAGCACCAUAGCGCAAAUNNNNNNNNNNNNNNNNNNNNNNNNNNNNNNNNNNNNNNNNNNNNNNNNNNNNNNNNNNNNNNNNNNNNNNNNNNNNNNNNNNNNNNNNNNNNNNNNNNNNNNNNNNNNNNNNNNNNNNNNNNNNNNNNNNNNNNNNNNNNNNNNNNNNNNNNNNNNNNNNNNNNNNNNNNNNNNNNNNNNNNNNNNNNNNNNNNNNNNNNNNNNNNNNNNNNNNNNNNNNNNNNNNNNNNNNNNNNNNNNNNNNNNNNNNNNNNNNNNNNNNNNNNNNNNNNNNNNNNNNNNNNNNNNNNNNNNNNNNNNNNNNNNNNNNNNNNNNNNNNNNNNNNNNNNNNNNNNNNNNNNNNNNNNNNNNNNNNNNNNNNNNNNNNNNNNNNNNNNNNNNNNNNNNNNNNNNNNNNNNNNNNNNNNNNNNNNNNNNNNNNNNNNNNNNNNNNNNNNNNNNNNNNNNNNNNNNNNNNNNNNNNNNNNNNNNNNNNNNNNNNNNNNNNNNNNNNNNNNNNNNNNNNNNNNNNNNNNNNNNNNNNNNNNNNNNNNNNNNNNNNNNNNNNNNNNNNNNNNNNNNNNNNNNNNNNNNNNNNNNNNNNNNNNNNNNNNNNNNNNNNNNNNNNNNNNNNNNNNNNNNNNNNNNNNNNNNNNNNNNNNNNNNNNNNNNNNNNNNNNNNNNNNNNNNNNNNNNNNNNNNNNNNNNNNNNNNNNNNNNNNNNNNNNNNNNNNNNNNNNNNNNNNNNNNNNNNNNNNNNNNNNNNNNNNNNNNNNNNNNNNNNNNNNNNNNNNNNNNNNNNNNNNNNNNNNNNNNNNNNNNNNNNNNNNNNNNNNNNNNNNNNNNNNNNNNNNNNNNNNNNNNNNNNNNNNNNNNNNNNNNNNNNNNNNNNNNNNNNNNNNNNNNNNNNNNNNNNNNNNNNNNNNNNNNNNNNNNNNNNNNNNNNNNNNNNNNNNNNNNNNNNNNNNNNNNNNNNNNNNNNNNNNNNNNNNNNNNNNNNNNNNNNNNNNNNNNNNNNNNNNNNNNNNNNNNNNNNNNNNNNNNNNNNNNNNNNNNNNNNNNNNNNNNNNNNNNNNNNNNNNNNNNNNNNNNNNNNNNNNNNNNNNNNNNNNNNNNNNNNNNNNNNNNNNNNNNNNNNNNNNNNNNNNNNNNNNNNNNNNNNNNNNNNNNNNNNNNNNNNNNNNNNNNNNNNNNNNNNNNNNNNNNNNNNNNNNNNNNNNNNNNNNNNNNNNNNNNNNNNNNNNNNNNNNNNNNNNNNNNNNNNNNNNNNNNNNNNNNNNNNNNNNNNNNNNNNNNNNNNNNNNNNNNNNNNNNNNNNNNNNNNNNNNNNNNNNNNNNNNNNNNNNNNNNNNNNNNNNNNNNNNNNNNNNNNNNNNNNNNNNNNNNNNNNNNNNNNNNNNNNNNNNNNNNNNNNNNNNNNNNNNNNNNNNNNNNNNNNNNNNNNNNNNNNNNNNNNNNNNNNNNNNNNNNNNNNNNNNNNNNNNNNNNNNNNNNNNNNNNNNNNNNNNNNNNNNNNNNNNNNNNNNNNNNNNNNNNNNNNNNNNNNNNNNNNNNNNNNNNNNNNNNNNNNNNNNNNNNNNNNNNNNNNNNNNNNNNNNNNNNNNNNNNNNNNNNNNNNNNNNNNNNNNNNNNNNNNNNNNNNNNNNNNNNNNNNNNNNNNNNNNNNNNNNNNNNNNNNNNNNNNNNNNNNNNNNNNNNNNNNNNNNNNNNNNNNNNNNNNNNNNNNNNNNNNNNNNNNNNNNNNNNNNNNNNNNNNNNNNNNNNNNNNNNNNNNNNNNNNNNNNNNNNNNNNNNNNNNNNNNNNNNNNNNNNNNNNNNNNNNNNNNNNNNNNNNNNNNNNNNNNNNNNNNNNNNNNNNNNNNNNNNNNNNNNNNNNNNNNNNNNNNNNNNNNNNNNNNNNNNNNNNNNNNNNNNNNNNNNNNNNNNNNNNNNNNNNNNNNNNNNNNNNNNNNNNNNNNNNNNNNNNNNNNNNNNNNNNNNNNNNNNNNNNNNNNNNNNNUUAGAAACAUGUGGGGUAUUACAAUAUCUCCCCCUUGGGAACAUUCAUCCUCGAAUGAGAAUUUACUGAGAAGGGAUACAAGACUAUAGAACCUGAACUGAACAUGAAGAACUGAAACUUGAUCUCAUGACAGACAUGCUAAACAUUCUGAACUUGUGCAUUCUGAUGCACGAACAACUGACACAUGAAUGUAUGACUAAGUAUGAAACGGUUAAUAGGUACCAAGUUUAUACUGGAAACAUGAACGUGAAACUGAAUAAGAUUAAGGAGAACUGUUACCUUGAGCUUGAUCUGAAUUAGCGGGGAAGAGGUGAGGAUACUUGGUAUGCAUAUCUGCUUCUGCUUCCCAAGUAGCUAUCUCAUGAGACUGAUUUCGCCAAAGAACCUUCACUUGAUGGACUUCUUUGUUCCUCAAUCUACGAGUCUGAUAAUCUAAGAUUUCGACUGGAAUCUCUUCAUAAGAGAGGCUAUUCUGAAUGUCAAUGCUCUAAAUAGGGACAACAACUGCUGGGUUACCUAUGCACUUCUUUAGCAAAGAGACAUGAAAGACUGGAUGGACUGAGGCUAGAUCUGAAGGCAACUUAAGCUCAUAAGAUACCUUACCGAAGCGACAAAGAAUUCUUAAGGGACCGACAUAUCGGGGACCGAGUUUCCCUUUCUUGCCGAACCUCUUCACUCCCUUCAUGGGAGAGAUCUUAAGAUAGACAUAGUCAUUGACCUCGAACUUGAGAUCCUUUCUACGAAUAUCUGCAUAGGACUUUUGUCGGCUCUGAGCAGCCCAGAGUCUCUCUCUGAUCAACUGAACUUUCUCUAAGGCGUUGAAUACUAAGUUAGGACCUAUGAUUGAGGCCUCACUAACUUCGAACCAACCAAUCAGAGAUCUAUAUCUCAUACCAUAGAGAGCUUCGAAUGGAGCCAUCUGAAUACUAGAAUGAUAGCUAUUGUUGUAUGCAAACUCAAUCAAAGGCAAGUGGUCGUCCCAACUUCCCUUGAAGUCAAUUGCACACGCCCUUAGCAUAUCUUCAAGAGUUUGAAUGGUCCUCUCUGCUUGACCAUCUGUCUGAGGAUGAAAUGCUGUGCUGAGAUGGACUUGGGUACCGAGACCCUUUUGGAACGCUUUCCAAAAGUGAGAAGUGAACUGGGUACCUCUGUCUGAGAUGAUAGAUACUGGAACACCAUGUAACCUAACUAACUCCCUGAUAUAGAGUUUGGCAUAAUCCUCGGCGGAAUAAGAAGUACGAACAAGAAGGAAAUGAGCUAACUUAGUCAUUCUAUCUAUAAUGACCUAGACUGAAUCAUGCUGAUGACGAGUUCUAGGCAAACCCGUCACGAAGUCCAUGUUAACUGCUUCCCACUUCCAAGUAGGAAUGGUAAACUCUUGCAUGGAACCACUAGGUUUCUGAUGCUCUAUCUUAACCUGCUGA